CCCCGGAAAAAUUUUGGGGGUGAAUGACCUUGUAACAGUGUGUGCUGCUAUUUGUCUUUGCGAACGGUGCGUGGUAGGCGCGUGGUGACCGCAGUCGGGUAGUCCCGGGUUUGGGGUGUGUGUGCACGGGCGGCUGUUGCCCGGGCGCCCGGGCGACUGUUGGCUCUUCUCGUCUCCGAGUGCCGCUGGGGCUUGUGUGGAGGGUCGGCCUGGGUCGUUGGUUGGACGGAUGGUGGGUGGUGCGCCCUUUGCGAGGGGCUGUGGUGUGCUGUGGCUUGGUGGUGUUUCGGCUUGGCUUCCGGUUCCAGUUGUGCCUCGGCACAGACUAUCAGACAUGGGCCUUCGGGCCAAGACAUUGCGCGUCUCUGACGCCAGCCAUCGUCUUCGGACGUGAUAUUUGUGUGGUGCUUGCGUUUGAUGGGGCUGUCGGCAGACCACUGGCCUGUCGUGCCUUGUUUUGCGUUGGCCCUGCCGCCAAAAGACCUAAACGAGAUGAGGGGUGUUACGUGGCGGUGGGGCUUUGGCGGGCUUCGGCUUGGCUUCGACUCAUGCGCGUAACGCUAUGAAGGUCGGCAGUCAGCCAGGGGGUGGGUGUUUCUCUCUGGGCCGGAGACGGUCCCUCGCGGCGUGGGUACGGUGUACCCCCGCUUGUCGGACUGUCCCUUCAAUUGUAAUUCGCAUCCUUAAAGGCGGCCCCUGUACGGGGGCCCGAAGCGGCGGCAGCCUGUUUCGUCAACUAAACGAAGCCAUUUUAAGGAAUUCGGCCACUGACGCCGCUCCUGCCUUCGUAAGAUACGAGCGCUGUCCGCACCCCCCACCCUGGCGCGCGGAGCGCGCCCGCGAAAAUUCAAUUUUCGUGCUGUUGAUAUUUAUUUUCGGGAAGCCAGGGCCAUUAAUAACUAUUAAAUAGGUUCGGGAAACAGAUUCGGGGCCUCUCCCGUAGUUUCCCGAAACCUUUUGUAACACUACGGUAACAUGCUGAAUAGCUUUCCUGCCUGUCGCCUUAGGCCUUAGCCCACGACUAGUCGUCAGCAGUCAGCAUGGCAUUCGCGCGCCAACACAGCUUUCAUCAUCAACAGCAAGCUGCACACACUAGGUCGUGACAGCCACUGGCGCCCGCACCUGUCCCACCAGCGCCCGCCUCACCGGCUCAGCCCACGCCCUCGCUCUCGCUCUCUACAGCACACGCGUGUCCAAGGCACCAAUGACGUACAAUACGUUAAUGCGGCACGAUCGCUGGCAUACGGCUGGCAUCAGCAACAACACGCAGAUUCGACCUCUGCCCAGCUGCUGCAACAUGAAUCAGCAGUCAUUGUGAGUAGUCGCAGGGAUGAAUCAGGAAAUGAGCAGAUCCCUGGGCCGUUGUAACACCGACUGACCAGCUCCUGCCACACUCCCCACGCCCUUACUUGGCCUGUCAGCUGCACACUAACCACACACAGACUCAAUGGGUUGCGCCUGACGAGCCAAACAAAAUCCCACCGAGGUACUGAGCUUCAUCGCCACACGGAACAGCUAUGAUACUGCACAUGCACGCCGCAACUGCCUAUAUGACGGUGAACUCCACGAAAUAAAGACCUGGCCGCAUCGGCAACCGCUUGAAUCGACAUAACAGGACAUCCAAGAGCCCCCGCGGCAUCCCCCCGCCGCCCCCUGCACGGCUGCGAGUCCCAAUGCAGCCCAAUGCGAGGUUCCAGGCAUGCGGUCACAGCCUGCUCCACUUGCUCCACGCAUACAGGCGCUCCAAGUCAAGCACGCAGGAAAAAGGAAAACAGACAAGCAUCAUUGCGCAUCAUGUACAGCCCCUUCCGGCUGGCUGGCGGCCCGCCCACCCGCAGCUGAUUGCCACAGGCUACACCACAGCUGUGGCCGCCGGAACCCGCCCGCCACACCUAUGAAACCCCUAGCCAUCGCCGCCGCGUCCCUGCCCGGCCCCCGCCCCGCCGUGGCCCUGCGUGUGAUGUUAGCGCCGCUGCGUACUACCCAGCCCCACCGCCGCUGCCCCGCCCUGCCGCUGUCAGCUACUACAGCAGACAUGCCGUAACGAAGUGCCUUGCUAUUCCUCCCAGGGCCGGAAGCCCGCGAGGAACUCCUCCUUAGUCGGGGGCCGGAAGGAGGUGGGCGGCUGGCUCAGCCCCAGCGCCUGGUACACCUCGGGCAGGCGCAGUAGCGACAUGAAGACCUGCGCGUCCCAAUUUGUCUGCGCCGCCUCCCGCAGCCCCUCAUCACCGUCAAAGCCCCCUCCUUCAUCGGAGCUGUCCGCACCGAUAACGGACCCUUCACCACCCCGGUCGGCAGCCCCUGCACUGCUGUGGGCGUCCUUGUUGCCGCCUGUGGGGCCGCCUCCGCUGCCGCUGGCGUCUUGCUUGCUGCGGCCGGCGCCUCCAUCAUGCGCAUUGGUGGCGCCUCCACUGUGGAAGGUGGCGUCACCUCCCUGCUGGUUGCCGCCCGCCCCUUCUCCGCUGCCGCCGGUCCCUCCUCCCCCGCUGCUCCCGGCCCCUUCCAUGCGCGUUUCAGUCGCGUCAUUCCCGCGUGGGCACAGAAGGGCAGUCAGAAAGGCCGCAGUUAUGCUGGCCGGAUGGCUGUACGCAGCCGUGGCAGGGGAGCCUUCCGCCGCAUCUUGAAGGCGGGCAGGGCCCGCCACAUGCAAGGACCUCUUGGCGUUGCGGUCAGGGUCGUUGCGGCCAGCGUGCACCGCGUAGUGCGUGUUGAGGUCGCCAAACAGCACGACCACGUCGUCUGCGUCGAGCAAACGGUGGGGAUCGGGCUUAGAACACUGAACACCCCAACAUCGGGGCGGGGGCGAGUCUGCCCGCAAUGAGCAAACCUAUGCAGCCACAUGCGCUGACCGUGCAGCCUGUGUAACCACUUGCAGGUUGAGUGCAUCAACUGGUGCUCACCUUCAGGCCACUCCGCCAUCUGGUUGAUCACCACGUACUCCAGCACUGCCUGGGCGCGCACUUUUGGCACGCCGUCAUGCAGCAUGCUGGCCGGGGACUUGGCCUCGUACAAGCCGCAGAUUGAACCGAGCAUAGAGUGCAGCGCCUCAGACGGGGUGUGGCCAGCGUCGACCUUGAGUGUGCGCCCUUGGAGCUUCGCGCCGUAUUCCUCCUGGCACCUGGCCCAUGCCGCCUUGGUGACGAAGAUGUAGUCCGUCCUGCCAGAGGAGAUCUCAAUGGUGGUCUUGUCAAUGACAACCUCGGCUUGUAGCCACGUGAUGUCCUGAACGGGCAGGACAACCACGCCUGCAGAGCGAGGCAGCCGUGAGGCCGUAUUGGCGGGAUGGUGCAUGGGGGGCAGCGCAAACACUCAGGGUUUCCCGCUGAGGCAGACGCGCAGAGAUGGCCGGCAGGCCUUAGUGCAAGCCUUUGCUGCUCGCCGUAUGCACGGCGGUGCCAAGCGAGACAGGAGCCGUGCAGCCUUGGCACCUCCCUCAUUUGCCUACCGUAGUCUCCCUCCCACGCCUGGCCUAGAAACAUACCGGUAUCCAAAAUAUAGAAGUAUCGCUCAGUAGUGAGCCACCGCAGUAAGCGCUGCACGCACUACGAACCCAUCAUCCUGCAUGCUGCGUCCCGCUGCCACCCCUCCUGCCUACGCCCCCUGCUGCCCGCGUGCACAGGCGCAUACCUUCAGGCGCCAACUUUGCCAAGCAGGCGAGCGCACUCGUGACGUUUUCCUCCGCGUCCUCUUUGCUGGGGUUGGGCCACUCAAACGCAGGCGGGCAUGCGGCCGAGACUGGCAGAUGGCCGAAGCAGCAUGGCGCGAGUAGGUCCGGGCGGUAGUCAUACUUUAUUCUCAUCAGGCCCUCAAUCUGGUUGCGCUUCCCUGACGAGCACUGGGAUGGAGUGACCGUUACUGUCGACGGUAUGAAAUACUCGAGGACCAUUUUCAUCUCGGAGAGUCUCUGCGAUCACGAGGCAGGGGUGUGGGCGUGAAGUUGGAGCGCAUGGAGCAAAGAAGGCAAAGGAAGGCCGGUGCGUUGCGACUUCCCUGCCUUUUAGCUCACAGUUAGCACGGCACCCAGGCCGGACAUCAGGCCAGCAAUCUGCUCCGUAGCCAGCCCCUCUGACGCGCCUGAUGCACGGCGGUGGCAUGUGAAGGCACAGCUGAUCAGCCGUGUUAGGGUACAGAGUGAACGAAUGCACAAGACACACAGCAGCCUGCCCCGCCAUACAGGUGGACCGGGCAAUGAUGGGCCAGCUUGAGCUCUCUACAGUGAACCCCCUCUUAUAAGUUUUAUCACCUCUGCCUGUGCUCCACUAGUUCGGCUUGGUUAGCAUGAGUUUUGGCUGGUUUGUACCCACCCUUACCCACCCACCCCUUUCAUACAAACCGUUCACAUGAUUGCCUACCCCCCCUUGGUUCCUAGGGUGGUUUGGGGUCCUUUAGGUGCCCGCAGGCACCAUCCUCGGCCUGUAGGGCCCAGUCCUGUCCCAUCCCAGCGCAUGUCAAUCGUUCUGCAUGGGCUGUAUGCCAUGUCACCCAUGCGUGCUUCCUGCUACUGCAAGCGCAGUUGCUAGGGCCUGCUAGGGCCUCGCAGAACACGCUCCGCACCUUUUGCCGCCAUAAUCCUAUCCGCAGCAGCUGGUGAAACGCCCACCCGCCUCAAGCGCUUCAUCCGCCAUGCGCUGGCGUCCCCAGUGUGUAAGGCCCAGUACCCUUUUGUCACCUCCCCCAACCCCUCCCCCUCUUCAGGCCAGCGCCCCCGGCCUCCGCACCUUGCAUGGAAGUCGUCGUGCCUGCAGUCAGCCCAGUCACAAUGUCAGUCAAUGUAAGCUACCCAUCAAGAACAUCUCUAGGGGCCCCUGUGAUGUAGGGAGCUUAAGGGGUCUCCCAGCAGCUCGCAUGUUGAGAACCCACGGGUGAGGCUCCAUGAGCCGUGCCCGGUUAGAGCGAUCACAACCAACCAACAACAACUCACCGUCAGCUGCCGUGCUCCCUGCGCCCAGUCCGGCCACCGCGCCUGCAUGACAGGAGCCGCCUGGGCCCACACAAAGGCGAUUGAGAAUGAUUGAGAACUUUGAAGACUGAAGUAGAGGCGGAGGUCACGCUAACUUUAAAUGCGCAUAUGUGCAAUACACGUAGAAAAAACCUCACCAACUCCUGCCGCGCUCCCCACGCCCACGCCAGCCGCCGCCUGCACUCCGCCACCUGCACGACGCGAGAGCGGCCAAACGGCAGAUGCAGAUUAGCAACUAACUGCUGCUGGGAACGCUCAAUGCGGUCUAGUGUCCAGGGACGGUGUGUGUGUGUGUGUGUGUGUGUGUGUGUGUGUGUGUGUGUGUGUGUGUGUGUGUGUGUGUGUGUGUGAAAUGAAACGAAAGCCCGUCCGAUGACGGCGCCGGAGUUGCUCAUCAAUAGCUACCUGUGUGUGUAUGUGUGUGUGUGUGUGUGUGUGUGUGUGUGUGUGUGUGUGUGUGUGUGUGUGUGUGUGUGUGUGCGUGUGUGUGUAUGUGUGUGUGUGUGUGUGUGUGUGUGUGUGUGCGUGCGCGUGCGCGCGCGCGUGCAUGCGGGCGUGAACGGAUCCCAAUGAGACGGCAGCUUGAAUGAGCAUGUGCACAUAUAUGGAGCCCUGGGGCACGAUAGGCAGCUUGAAGAUGCCGCACGCAGGAUGACGUGGGACGGAGUUCAGCCCUGACAGGGAGGGGCAAGCAAAGCGUGCGUCCUGUGCGCGGUGAGGCAAGGCCUUCCGGCGUGGUGCGGCAUGCGCCUUUUUCAGGCCCGCAUUCUGUGCUAGCGACCUCCUGGGCGGCACUCCACGGCUGUGGAAGUCGUUAAUAAGCAUCUAGCCGUUUUGCAUGCAAUGCACGAAGUUUGAGGGGCCACCCAGCCCUACUCCUUGGGAACCCCACGGGUGCGUCCUGCUGACCCGUGCCCGGUUCAUGUCAACCAGCAACCAACCGCCAAGCAACAACCAACCGCCAGCUGCCGUGGUGGUAGGGGGCCACAAGUCCCAAGAACAAGCCAGGUCAAAUCACCGGCGAACUUUAGGAACUUUGGGAAUUGCGUGCCGCUGCACGGGCUCAAUGCUUUUGUAGGUGGAGUGCGGGUUUGGGCCACGGAGUAAAUAAAAAAGAAAGUGCGCUACAAGGUCAAGGUCAAAAGCCAUUGCGCUCGCGACUGGGUUCCAGCGGCAUGCUCAAUGCCCAGCUUGCUAUUAGUGCAUGUCGCCAGGGAACAGCCACAGGACACACGGUGCGACGGUACGACGUGCGGGCCUGGCGAAGAAACAAGUGCAACGUCCCAUAAACACCGGGGCGUUUCCCGGCACUCCUGUGCCUAGGCUUGUGGCAUUGAGGCACAGCGGUGGGGCUCUGGCGGGUUGAGGGUUGGCUAGGACUCACUGUGCGCGGAGUUACAAGGGCUUUGACCGCGGGAGGGUUUGCAGCAAAGUCGGGGUUGGUGGAGUCAAGGUGGGCCCUGAUAGCAUGUGAUGGCGCCUUCGGGUGCUGGGACUGUCCCCUCUGUAACAUCCGCAUUCAUGAACACCGGGGCUACGGGCCCCGCCCAGUUUUGUCGCAUGUCUCAGAUAUCACCUAGCAAGUUCAUGAUUUGGCGCUUUGGCUUGGAUGCUACGCGGAACGCACCCAGUCCCGGCGCAUUCGAGGGGCCGGGGUCGGCCUGCGCUGGCGCUAAGGCCCCAGCCCAGCCCCGGCCCCAGCUCCGGCAAUCCCCACAGUUGCUAAUCAGCUCUGCAAUGUUCGCGGUAGCUCCACAAUUUCUACCGCGGACUGAACAUAAGUGAUUUUGACAACACCGCUGCUGCUGUAGCAGCAACUUCAUGCUCGUGAACCAGGGGCAUACCAUACACUUUUCAUCCGGGAACAGUCACACAUACCUUGGAGGGAAAUGAGCUCGUCGAGGAUUCCGCGCGCGACUGCCGGCUCGUCAGCGGAGCGGAAGAGAGUCCGCUCGACUAUUGACGCCCGCGUAAAGGCAUUCGCUGCGUAGAUAGCCCAUUUGUUGGUUGGGGCAAGGGCUAAUAUACGUUUAGCGUCGGCGUCUCGAAAUUCUAGUUCGCUCAUGUCGCGAAGUUUAUGGUAACUGCUUCAGAAACAUCACCACAGCAAGCUUCAUGUAAUAAGUACUGAAUUGGAUGACCGCAUAGUCGCAAGCCCGUUCCCAGCAUGUGUAUUCACAUGGCUUGAUUGACAGGGUAUGGGGGCGGAUCUGACUACUCCAUGCAGGCCCAACUAACUGCUUUGAGUCCGGGGGCACGAAAGAAGCUGAACAAAGUAGCUGAGUUCAGCGCUCGUGUUCUAAGCGUCAUGACCUGCGUGCAAGUCCAACUUCUGAACUCGCGCAGGCAUCCGUGCUGAUGGCGCGGCGUCGCGCAGGCAUCUGCCAUUCCUCGGCGCAAGCAUCUGGACUGCCGCGGCGACCCGCCCCAGGCAGCUUCAAACCCCCGCGCACGCAGCCAAAUUUGGCUCGGCAGGGUACCCGGCUCACCCUUACAACCAGAGGCCACCGGCAACUUUUCGGAUUUCCUACCCUCCUCAACUUCUGAACAGUUAUUCUCAGCAUAGCCUGCUUCAUAUUACCACCUGUCAUGCCAACUGCUUGCCUGAGGCUUGCAUAGCUGGCAAAUUCUGGCAAACAUGCUCGCUCAUAUGUCAGGGAGCUGAAGUCCGGGGCUGGGGGUGAACCGCGGGGGUCGGUGGGGGCAAGGCACGCAACACUGUGCACACCGCUGGUUUUCGGCAUUUGCGAUGCGAGGAUGCACACAGUCACAAUUGUGUACAACCUUAUCAGCGCAAUUCGCUAGCUGUCAACUCUUGUGCCCUUUGCCUUUGCAACAGUUUUGCGUCUUGCUAGCAAAAGCCUGGGUACAUACUGUAUUUUGGGGGGUAGAUAUUUGAAAUAUUGCAUACGGGGAAGGCAAGCCAAGCGGAGUGGCGCUCCACGGCACAAAUUUCGUUGACUGCCAAGCGCGGGGCUCGCUACAGUGCCUCAAACUUUCUAAUGGGAAUGGGCAGUUUGAUUGAUGUUUGAGAACGCGCCUGACAUGCAGUCGCUCUCCCCGAGCGUGCGAUGCGCAACGGCGGGCUCACUGCGCCCGAGUGCUGCCAGCUCGUUACCACAGCUCCCAGUGCUCGGCACACCUCAACCGCAGGCGCAUAAAGCUUGGCAGGUGCGCUUGCAUUGCAACCAUCCCAUAGGCAGCGCUGAGCCCCCGUACCCGGCUUGCCAACCGAUUGCCUUGCGCGUUAUGUUCGCAGCAGACCCCGGCACAGCGUGCGGCCAUGGUUUGCCCCGUGCUGCCGGAGGGAGGCCACGGCUGCGGAGGUGCAGGCAGCACCAGCGCCAGCUGCAGCUCUCCCGAAGCAGAGCCGCUCACGGUCAGCCGCACGCAGCGCAAAGGCGCCCCGCCGCGCCCCCGCCGCAUCAUCCUGUCCGAUGACGAGGAGGAGGCGGAUGCUCACGGCGACGCUGCCAGCCCUGCAGCCGCGGAGGCCCCCGCGCCGCCGCACCGAGUGGCACACAACAGCCCCCGCCGGCAGCAGCAUCCCGCGCCCUUCCUCAACAUCACGAACACGCCGAGCGCCGCCGCCGGCUGGGCAUGUGCCGGGCAGACCAGCGGUCCCGGGUCGGGGCCUGCAGCCGCGGCUGGCGGCGACGGCAAGGCCGCGGCCGUCUCGGCUCGCCCGCCUGGGCUGCUCGCAGCGGCUGGCGGCGGCGUGGGCAGCGGCAGCCGCAGCGCCGUGGGGAGGCGCGGCAUCCUCGAGCUGGCCUCCCUACUGCGCAGCGCCAGCCCCACCGGCUCUCAAGCAGGGAGCAGCGGCCGCAACGCUGCAGUGGGUGGCGGCGGCGGCGGCGGUGGUGCCGGCCCGCUUCCUGCCAGGGGGCGCGCAGCACCCGCCGCCGCCAUGGCAGGGCUGGCGGUGGCUCUGGACCCACACGCAGAGGAGGUGCCGGCGCCGCGUGCGCCCGUGGCGCCCGGGGAAGCGGGGCUGACGGCGGCAGCUGCGGCGGCGGCGGUUCCAAGCCUGGCCGGGGCCGCAGGUCUGCUGCAGGAGCCGCAGGAGCUGAUGCCGGCAGGCCGGGACCGCAGCGGCGGUGAUGCCAGCACCAGUGGCCGCUCGCGCACACGUAGCCCGCGCGGUGGCGGCGGCUGCGGCCGUCCCACGCGGCGUAAGGCGUCUGGAGUUGGGGGCCGUGGUAGCAGCAGCGCCAGCAGUGGGGAGGACGAUGAGGCGCCGCUGACGUUUGCGCGGAGCGUCAAGCCCGCACGGACGCGGCGGCGGGUGGUGGAGGAGGAUGACGACGAUGGCGAGGCGGCGGGUGUGGGCGGCGCGGCGGUGGCAGGGGCUGCAGCAGUGGCACCAGUGGGGCAAGCACCCAGCGGGUCGGCUGCAUGGGGCCAGGUGCAUGGGGCCACAGCGGCCGCCUGUGCUGGGCCGAUGGUGGGAACGGCAGCUCCGCCUGUUGCUUCACCUGUUGCUGCUGGUGAUGCCGUUGCUGGUCCUGAUGCCGCCGCUGUUGCGCCCGCCUGCCCUGGCGAUGCGGCGUACCUGGUCGCACCCGGUCCCGGCAGUGGCCGCAGCAGUGGCAGCGGCAGUCCGGGGGUAGCCAGCCCGGGCGCCGCCUUCAGCCCCGGGGCGGCCAGCGAGGCCAGCUUCUUCUCAGCUACCGAGGGGGAGGGCGAGGGCGAGGGCGAGGACACGCAAGGAGACGAGGCAGUCAGCGGGGCGGAGGCCGGCGCCGGGGCUUCGCCCUGCCAGCCCGACGCAGCCCCGCCGUUGGUACCAGCGCCGGUGGCGGCGCUGGGUCUUGGCGGCGGUGGCGGCGGCGGCGGCGUCCAAGCCCGAGGGUUGGACGUCGCUAAGCUGGCACGUGUGCCCCGGCGGCGGCAGGGCGCCAGCCGCGACGUCGCUGGCGAUGCGGCCGCAGCGGCGGCAGCCAGCGUUGAUGACGUCAGCGGCGACAGCAGCGGCGGCGGCGGGCUGAUGUACGAUUUGUACGGAGCCGUACAGCUGGAGCGGCAGUUGGCGGGCAUGCGGAUCCAGGAGGAGGUGGAUGCCGCGGCGGCGGCGGCGGCGGCAGCCGAGGUGGAGGUGGAGGCGGUAGGCGGCGAUACCGGCGAUACCGGCGAGGUGCUUGACGCGGAGCUGGACGUUGUGGCGGAGCUGGACGUUGCGGCGGAGCUGCUUGGGGGCCAGCUACGGCAACUGAUUCUGUCUUCCCGGGCUGCUGACGCCGGGACCGUCGUGGCGCCGCCGUCGGCGGCUCAUGGCGAUCAGCCGGAGCCCGCCUCAGCCCGCGCCCAGGCGCAGCAGCAGGCGCAGCCGCAGGCGCAGCAGCAGGCGCAGCAGCAGGCGCAGCAGCAGCAAGCGCAGCCGCAGGCGCAGCAGCAGGCGCAGCCGUCCGCUCGGCCGCCGCGGCGGACACGCAGCAAGUGGCCUGCGCCAAAAGACGGCGUGUCGCCGGCUGCUUCCGACCGGUCGGAGGGCGUGGGCGAGGCUGGACCUGGACCCAUGGCCAGGCUGGAAGCGCUGGGGGCCGCGGCGGCGGCGGCGGCGGCUGCCUGGCCGUCGCUGUCCCCUGCCUCCGCCGGCUUUAGUGAUGCCGUCGCGACGUCCUGCAGCGACUUCCGGACGGCACUGACAGCUCAGGGAUCAGGUGGCUGGGACGGCGAGGAGGAGGACGGCGGCCAGCAGUGCACCUCGUUCCUGACACCGGCGCCGGCAGCAGGGCCGGGCGCAGGGGCGGGCGGUGUGGAGGUGAUGGACCUGACCUGCCUGCCCAGCACGGACAGCGCCAGCGGCGGGGGCAGCAGUGCUCGCGGCGAUGAGUCGGCGGCUGGGGCGGGGGCGGGCGCGCGGCGGCGCCACCCCGCCGGCCUGCUGGAGGCUUACCAGGGGGGCGCCGCUUCCGCCAGCACUGCCGCCAGCACUGCGCCUGUAGCAGCGGUGCCUGAGCCGCAGCUACAGCCGCUACCCGCCAUCGUGGACGCCGCACUCGGCAGUAGCGACAGGGGGCUGGCGGAAGACACGGCCUCGGACGAGGAGGCUGCGGCCGCGCCGCCAGGAGGGCGGCAGCAGCAGCGGCAGCGGCGCAAGGAUGCUGGCGGUGGCGCCAAGACGCCGGGCCGGCGGCGGCGCCGGGCGAUUGUGUACGACAGCGACAGCGACGGCGCCACGGGUGCGGAGAGCCCUCAGACUGCCGUUGCUGCUGGGAUUAGCACCGCUGUCAGCAGCGAGAGCACAGAGGAGGAGGUAGAGCAGGAGCUCGUGGUGGUGGUGCGGCCGGGGCGGCGGAGAGCGGGCGGCGCGGGUGCGGGCGUGUCCACCACCGCCACGCCGGUCGCCGGCGGGCAGCGGCAGCGGCGUCCUGCCGACCCCUAUAAGCUAUCAUCGUCCUCGACAUCCCCCUCGUCUGCAUCUGCAUCCUCGCCCUCCGCUGGCGGCGACACAACCGCAUCCUCGCCCGCCUACUCGCCCUCGGCAACGGAGUCGGCGACCGAGUCGGCAACCGGCAGCGAAGAGGAGGAGGCUGCGGAGUCGACAGAGGAGGAAGAGGAGGACCCGAUGGCGAGGGCGGUGGCGCCGCCGCCGCUGCCGCCAUCGGCCCGCCGCGGCCUCCCGCAGCGGCCCCCCUUGCCCCCACCACACACGCCUGCUCGCGGCCCCGCAUCAGCGGCCCCUACCGCCACCCCCGCCACCAGCGCCGGCGCCGCCGGCACCCGCAAGGGCGCCGGCGCGCCUGCUACGGCCGCCGCCCCUGCAGCCCCUGCUACAGCCGCCGCCACAGCCGACGCGACGGAGGCGGCGCGGCGACGCUUCCUGUCCGAGCGCAAACGGCUUGCGGAGCGGCUGUAUGCGGGCUGGAACGAGCGCGUGUUCGGGGGCCGGCUGCCGGCGGCGCUGCCUCUGCGCUGGAAUGCGCGCAUGACCAGCACUGCGGGCCAGGUGGUCAGCGAGCCGGAGCUGCCGGGCAGCAGCAGGUGCGGGCGCGGGCGCUGGGAUGGGGGGAAGGGGUGGUGGGAGGGUGGGGAGGGCGUUGUAAGGGUGGGGUGGGGGUCAGAUGCCCGAGCCCAGCGAAUGGGGUGUGGGGGAAAUGAUUCAGGGCGGCGCAAGGGGUAUUGGAGGGGGGGGCGGCUUCACGCAGCGGCACCCGCCUGCCGGGGCAGCCGACCCGCCCAGCCCGCCACCGCCGCGCGCACGCACCGUGCCGUCCGUACCCCCCCCCGUGCACAUGACUGGCACACGCCCCACACACGCGCCCCCCGCCCGCCCUGCAGGCGUGUGCCCGCCCGCCUGGACCUGUCGCCGCUGCUGAUCACCGACCUCACCCGCCUGCGCAACACACUGGCGCACGAGAUGUGCCACGUGGCCGGUGAGCACAGCCACCCAAUCCCGCCUGCCCCACCCCCGCCAGCCCCACCCCCGCCGGCCCCAACCCUCACACCCCAUACCACCAUCCCCUACCACUUUCUUGACUAAGCAUGAAUGUAACCCCCGCCUGCCCCACCACUCACACCCCAUUCAACUUCUGCCCGCCAACCCGCCCGCAACCACCCGCACCCACUGUCCGGCAUUCUCGCAUCUCUUACUGGUCGCUUGCUGGGGUUGAUGCCCGCCGCUCCGCACACCCUCCCCCACCCACCCCCACCCACCCCACACACCUCCACCAACCCCUCCAACACCCAUCCCACGCACCCAUCCCCCCCUGGUUUAGCUUGGGCUGGUAUCUACAACCCACACACCCCCACCCAUCCCUUGUUCUCCCCACGUCGCGCCGCAGCCUGGGCCAUCAGCCACGAGUACUCGCCGCCGCACGGCCCCGCCUGGGAGCGCUGGCGCGCCGCCAUCCUGGCCGCCGAGCCGCCGGGCGCGCUGGCCAUCAGCCGCACCCACGACUACCUGGCGGCGGGCGCCACGCGCUUCAGGUGGCGCUGCACGGACGAGCAGGGCGGCUGCGGGCGCGAGUACGGGCGCAACAUGAAGUGCAUCGACGUGAAGAAGCACGUGUGCAGGUGAGGGGGAGGUCGCGGGAGUGUGUGUGUGGGGGGGGGAAGGAUGAUUACUUCAGAAGUGAAGGCGUAGGGAGGUCGGGGGGGGAGGAGGUUGGUCGCGCCAUUCCCAACUAGAGAGGGUGACGAGAUUGAGGGGAGAGGCGUGGGGUGGAGGGGGGAGGCUGCGGCUGGGUUUGUAGGGCGGAGGGGGCUCGUCAAGGCAGUGAGGCUUGUUUGUUGACUAGCCGUGACACACUAACACCCCACCUGCACACACAUGCUAUCAAUGCGUGUCUAUUGUCCUUGUGCUCUACAACACGCAAUUGCACACUGUCUCCCUUUCCCCUAUCACCCCCUCCCCUUCCCCCCUAAUUAGUCAUGAAUGUAACCCCCCUCCCCUCCUCCUCCUUGCCCCCCCCCUCACAGCGACUGCCGCAGCCGGCUGGUGUACCUGGGCAAGUUCUGUCCGCGCACCGGGCAGCAGCUGGCGGACGCGGAGGGGCGCGAGCUGGCGCGGCCGGGGGGCAGCACGGCAAAGAAGGUGCGAGAAGGGGCAGAGACGGCUGGGUGUGGGGAAGGUUGGCAGAGGGGAAGGCGGUAGGGUGGUAGAGGGGAAGGCGGGGGGGGGGGACUGCCGACUAUGGCAGAUCGCCGCCAGUGGAGCCGUCUGUAUGGAAGGUGCUGUGCCUGCCAUACACGUCCCCCUCCUCUUGCCCCUCCUGACCACCCCUCUCCAACCCACCCCCACCCCGGCCCUCCAGGCUCCCAACUCCUUCGCCAGCUAUGUGCGGGACCAGUUCGCGGCCACGGCUGCCGGCCUGCCGCCGCGCACACCCACACGCGAGGUCAUGAAGGCCAUCAGCGCCAAGUGAGGAGGGGAGGGGACGGGAGGGGAGGGGAGCGGAGGGAAGGGAAGGGAAGGGAAGGGGUGGCGAGGGAUGGGGACGCAGAGGGCGGAUAGGGAAUGAGCCCAACCCACCAUCAACUGAAAGCCCACCCAGUCUGAGGGAGGAAGGGAGUGAGGGAGGGAGGUAGGGAGGUGCAAUGCAUUGGCAUUCGCAUUCACACCCGUAACCCUAAGAUGGUGCCGGCUGGCGGCCGAAGAGCCCGUAUGUGGCAACCUCGCGCCCACAACCUCCUCUGUAAUAGGAAAGCACAAAGGGAAAGGGUCGACACCGUGCAUGCAUCCUCUGUGUUAAAGCGCAUCCUCUGUGUGUAUGAAUGUGUUAAAAAUCACAAGGAAAACGUCGCGCAAAUGACAGUAUAUGCGAUGCAGCAAGCGGUUUACGGAUGUUACCUGAAGUGACCUCCGCCUGUAUGUAUGUGUGAGUUAGAAUGAAACGUAUGUGUGUGUGUGUGUGUCUCCCUGCUCUUCGGCAGGUGGCAGGUCCACAAGCAGCGGGCGGCGGCGGAGGCGGCGGCGGGCGGCAGCGUAUCGCGCAGCCCGCCGCGCAGCGCCCUGGCGGCGGCGGGCGGCGUCGCGGGCGGCGGCCUGCAGGCGACGAGGCCGGGGGCGGGGGCGGCGGCUCCGGAGGCGGACACGCGCGGUGGCGGCGCGAGCGCGGCGGUCCUGGAGGCGGAGACGGAGGUGGAGGAGGUGGAGGCGGAGGAGGGGGAGGCGGAGGUGGAGGGAGGAGGGGGAGGUGGUGCCGCGGAUGUUGGACCUCAGCCUGUUGGACGACUGUGACUGAUGUACAUGGGCAUACCGGAGAUGUGAUGCAGGCGGGCGGCGGAGGCGGGGGACCCGGGCGAGCGGUGCGAGCGCACAGCAGCACACAUGGGUGAUGGAGGCGGCACGGUGCGGUGCGGGUGGCACCUGCCUGUCUUUCUUUCUUUCUUGCGCGCGCGCGCGGGCGCAGGGCGUGAAUGCGUGAUCUCGAUGUGCAUGGGCGUGUGCCGAGUGCCAGCGUGCGAAGCGGGCCGCCACGGCAGGAGGCAGGAGGAGGCAGCUGCGGGCAGCCGCCAAUUGCGGUGCAGGCAGCACGUGCGCGGCUGGCACUGACCGACUGCGGGCCGAGUGCUGGGGACCGGCUCAGUUGCUGGCGGUGGUAGGUUAGGGCUGUAGGUUGUUGUGGCGCGCGGCUGUAACAGUAUUUCAUGUAGCAUUUAUGAGGGACAGCUGUUCUUUGGGUGUUGGCCCUGGCCCCAGGACGACGUACAUAGGCUGACGAGUGCGCUUCGGGUGAUGAGAGUUAGGUGGUUGAUAGGUGACACGAGUGCGCUUUGGGUGAUAAGAGUUAGGUGGUUGAUAGGUCGCUGGGGGCUGGGGCUGUAGCCUGGCAGCCAGUUUGUGAUGACCGGAAGUAACAGACAUUAAUGUGAUCACGUUGGCAGUUUACACGAGUUUACAGACAGCGGCCUUCUCAUCUUCUCCUGGUUUCGGGGGUUAACCGGGGGCCUCAGACACACUCAACACACUCAACACACACACACACACACACACACACACACACACACACACACACACACACACACACACACACACACACACACACACACACACACACACACACACACACACACACACACACACACACACACACACACUCUCUCUCUCUCUCUCUCUCUCGUCCAGGCGCCGCCCCCAAACCGCUUUGACGAGAGCAGUCACCGGAGUGACCGGAAUUCAACGGUUGCUGCAUUGGCGCGAAGACGGUUUCGUGUAGGCCGCGCUAGAGGAAGUCGAAGCGCGUGUGGCAAGGCUAGAAACGUCUGUCGUCUGAGGGAAGACGUGACCAUCAGUGCAUGCUUGAGCUUCUGAGCCGCUGUCGCACAGGACUCGCUAACCUUAGCGCCUAUGGGCGGCAUCGGCGCAUCGUUCCAGGCAUCUUGCACCAUGUCAACAUGUCUUCGCUGCCACGUGCCGGCGCGCCGUUAUGUGUGCCGUUCAAAUAUGUGUGCGAGAAUUAUGACGCCUUAUCAGGGGGGGACUUCUCACUUGCUUGCACCUGUUCCGGCUGUCAUGCCGCCGAGCGGCACGCACCCGGGCCCCAUCCAAUCUAGUGGCAUUUCGAGCUGCAUACACCGCCCACGCAUACGUUCAAUAAACAUUUGUUUGUUACAAACGACACCUCACGACGCUGGGAGCCUUGUCCAACUCGAAGCACGCAGGGCACUAUUGCUUGCGCGGCAGGGAAAUGUCGGGGUUGAUUGUAAACCAUAAUGACUCCGCUGGGUGCACAAGCAUUGAGAUAACAUUAUGAGGAGGAUAAUACUGCAGCGCUGGGGUCGCUGAGUUGGAAUGGCCGAGGCCAUACAGGCGCUGUUGUUGAAUGAGCGCUUUGCACAGUCGGAUGCGCUGGUAAGUAGUAAUGACAAGAAGCGCCGUCGAACAAGCGCUGCUGGGCCUCCAGCGACGGAGUUCCCAUGCGCUCAGCCGCUCGUUGAAAGUUUGUUUAGUCGCGAUGAAGGGCUCAAAAUACUCCAUCCGAUGCUUUGUGCGCUCUUACAGGUUCAGGAGGUGCAGGAGGCGGCGACGCGCGCAGCUGAAAGUGACCUACGGCAUGGCGUUGCGCAGCAGAGAGCCGCGCCAAGUAAACGCGCGUCAUUCCUACUUCCACAGAGACAGGGAAAUCAUGCUCAUGAACAUUAUGAACAGGUGCGCAACGUACGGUGUAUACGGCCUCAGACUGCCCGACCCCAAGAAGUUCACACGCGUACUUACAGCAUCCGCGGCGUGAACUCAAACGCGUACUUACGGGAGGCCCCAGCCUGCCCUCGCGGAGUCCCUAGACUGCCCGGGACUGGGUCCUGUGCUAUGCCAGCGUUGCCCCUGGCGCCUUCCUAACCGGCUUUGCAGGGGCGCCUUGCGCCGCCCCGCUUCCUCCUCUCAGCUCUACUAAAAUGCUUACAAUCAAGUGCCCCGUGCAAGUGCCCCAAGUAUCCUUACGUCGCUAAUGUCCCAAACGUCCCCAACAACCGUGCCCCCUGCCUCUUCCCCUACAGCUGCUGGCUCCGGACAUCACGGGCCCUAUCAUGCGGCGAGCCUCCUGGGUGGAAGACCCACUCGUGGGCGGGGCGGACGGCGGGGCGGGGGCAGCAGCAGCAGUAGCAGCUGCAGCAGCAGCCCCUGGAGGAGGCGGCGGCGGCGGAGGGCCGCCGGGGGCCCGAUCCGGGGGCUCCCCAUCCGCGGCAGCGGCACCUGCAGCAGUUGGGUUCGGUCUACCCCGCACGCCGCUGCGGGUGUUGUCAAUGGGCCUAGCGGCGGCGGCGUCCGCGGCGGCGGGGCUGCUGGCAGCGACUAGCAGUGGCGGCAGCAGCGGCGGCGCGGCUAACGGAGGCCUGGGGCACGAGCAGCCGCAACACCAGCCGCAGCAACACCAGCAGCAGCCGGCUGGGUUGCAGCGAAUUGCCUCUCGUCGGCAUCAACUGCCGCCAGUCCCAGCGCUGAGCAUGCCGCUGCAGCACCAGCAUCACCAGCAGCAGCGCGAAGCGGGCGGCGGAGAGGGCGGCGACCUCGUCACCGCGUUCUCGGCUGGAGGCAACACGGCGGCGGGGCUUCGUGGCGUGGCAGCGGGGCCAGCGGGGGCGUGGGCGCUGCUUGACACGACCCCCGAACCACCGCCGCCACACGCAAGCGGCUCGCCUAUGGGUGACGGCGGCGGAGGCGGGAGCCUUCAGCGCGUGCCGUCUGUCGCUGCAAGGCUGGGGCAGGUACAGCAGCUGCGGCCGCGGCUGCCAGUUGCCUUGAGCAGCUUGACCAUACCGGCGGCGGCGGCGGAGCUGCCACAGCGCUGGUCCGAAGAAAGUGCGCCGCCGCCGCAUUCCGCACAAGCCGCCAACCAACACCAGCACCAGCAGCAGCAGCAGCAGCAGCAGCGAGCGGACGCCACAGCGGUGGUGAGCCUCCUGGACAGCUGGGGGAAUAUACCCAGCCUGGAUUGUGACGGCGGCGGCGGUGCUGGCGGCGGCGGUGCUGGCGGCAGCGGCCUGGCGGCGGCGGCGCCGCUAGGGCCCGUCGGGACAGGUCUGUCGCGACGCAACCCGCGAAUGGCAACCCUUGCGUCGCGCCGCGCGGACCGAUUGGGUCGCCUCCUGGCACGCUCGGGUGACGGCGCCGCCCCUGGCGGCGGCAGCAGCGCUGGCCGCGCCGCUGACGCCAGCGGCGGCGCCGACACCGCCAUCAGCUUCCACCGUGCAGAACCGGUGCGUGUCCGGCCAACCUCAGCAGCUGCGCGGGACCGUGGUGUAGCAGCGGACGUGCCGGGGGGUGCGGCCGCAACCGUUGUCGGCGAUGGCGGUGGUGGCGGGGCGUGGUGGCUGGAGACCAGUCCGGCCGACUUGUUGGACGCGCAGCAGUGGCGGGGUGCGGCGGCGGCGCCAGCUGCGGCGGCAACAGCGGUGUGGUCCUCGCUGGCCGCGGGGCCGCGGCGCGACGGCGCACCUGGGUCAUCACCACCGCCACCACCGCCAGCUGCCGCCGCCACUGGCUUGCCCGGUCAGGUGCAUCAGGUCUCGGAGGACGGCGGCAGCGGCGGCGCUGCCGCCGACGGCGCUGGCGCCGGCGCUGCCGCCAGCGGCCUGCUGUCGCCGGUCAGAGUGAGCAGCCCGGCGGCUGCCGCCACCGGCACCACCGCUGCCGCGGCGGCCUCACCCGUUGCAAAGCCAGCUGGCGUCGCCGCUACAUCGGCGGCGGCGUCAGCGGCGGCGGCGGCGGCGCUGGCGGAGCUCGGUGACGGCGGGGCGUUCAUGCUGCCGCCGUCGGCGGCGGCGGCGGGCGCAGGCACGUGCGCCAAAGAGGUGGACUGGUGGGUGCGGUUCGCACGUGACAGUAUGGACUUAACAGCAAUGUCAGCAUCCGGCGACGGCGGCGGCGCGAGGGGUGGUAGCACGGGCCUGCGCAAUCGGCGGCGGGGGCGCAGCAGCCGCCGGGUGUCGCAGGAAGAGGAAGAGGAGGACCGAGGCCGGGAUGGCAAAGCCUCCAGCGUCGGCGCCGGCGGCGCGCUGACGGCGGUGGUGGCGGCGGCUCGUUGGAAGAAGAAGAUGGGGCUGGCCGGAACGGCGGCGGCGCGGCAGCAUGGCGGCGGCGGCGGCGCCGGCGGCGCUCUGGCGGCGGAGCAUGUGCCCUGGUGGGCUCUGGCUCUGGACCUGUUGUCACUGGCGGACCGGUCACUGCCGCUGUUCCUGCCCUCGACCUCCCGCACCAGGUGUGUGUAUGGGGGGGUGGGCCUGCUGAACAGCAAUCGGGUAUUGCAAGUGUUGAAGGUGGCUCUCCUGGUCAAUGCGGCGCCCUGACACAUCCAUCGUUUGGCAUGUCGUGUCUCAUAAAACGCCUUCCUUUCUCCUCCUUCCUUCCCUCCAUCCUUCCCUCCUCUCCCUCCUCCUCCUCCCCGCUCUUCCCCUCCCCAGCUGGGACGUGUUCAUGCUGCUGCUGCUGCUGUACACGGCCGCCGUGGUGCCCAUGGAGGCCGGGUUCCGCGCCCUGAACGCCGUCAGCAGCGGCGGCACAGCGGGCGGCGGCGGCGGCGUGCUGGCGGCGGCGGACCUGGCGGUGCUGCUUGCGUUCUGGAUCGACAUUGGCGUGCAGUUCAGGUGCGUGCGUGUUCGUGUUUGUGUUCAUGUUCGGUGGAUGGCAAUAAGAAAUGAAGAAGUGCAAGGGAAGAAAGCCCGCAGGACUGUGCAUGCGAUGCGGUGCGGCGCUGGCGGUAUUAUUAACAUGGGCCUGUGCGCGGUAUUGCUGCUAUCACCUUCGUGCUUGCCCAACACACACGCUCCGACGCCCCUGUGCCCUCUUCCCCCAUCCCCCCCCUCCCUCCCCUCCCUUCCCUCCCCUCCCUCCCCCUCCCUCUCCCCCCUGCAGGACCGCCUACAUCAGCUCCAGGGGCGACCUGGUCCGCAGCAGCCCGCGGGUGGCGGCGCACUACGUCCGCACCUGGCUGGCGCUGGACCUGGUGUCGUGCAUGCCCUGGGACGCCAUCAUGAGGGUGGGUGGGAGGGGCCGGGGGGGGUGGGGGGAGGGGUGGGGGGGAGAGGGGGAGGGGAGAGGGGUAGGGGAGAGGGAGAGGGGAGGAGGAGGGAAGCGGGUGAGGGGACGGUGGGUGGGUGGAAGCGCAAAGAGCGAGGGGGAGCUUGUCCUGGGGGUUUGUGGGGCAGUAAUGUUGCAGCAUAUAUUCAUGUCUCUCACCCUCUGCCCGUGCCCUCUGCCCCACAUUCCCGUCCCCGCCUCUUCCCCUCCAGGCGGCGCUGCCCUCUACUGGCGCCGACUCCACCAGUGUCCUGGUGCUGCUGCGCGUCCUGCGGCUACUCAAGCUGUUCAGGUGGGUGGGUGUGAGAGUGUUGGGCUAGAGAACACGGCGCCGUGGGUUUGGCGUUCCAGGGUUUGCUCCAGCCCCACUCCACCUCAUCUCACGGCUCCACCUCCACAGUUUCCUCCUCCCCCUCGUCACCUGUGCAGCCCAGCGCACUCUCGCUUGGCUACAGGCUUGGUUCUAGUAACCUCCGCACCACCUGCUUACCUUGCCCACACCCCGCACCUCCCACACCACCUCCCCCACCAAUGCCCCCCACCACACCUCCCCCACCACUGCCCUCGCCACUGCCCACACCACUGCCCCCGCCACUGCCCCCCACCACUGCCCCCCACCACUGCCUCCACCCCACUGCCCCCCACCACUGCCCCCCACCACUGCCUCCACCCCACUGCCCCCCACCACUGCCCCCCACCACUGCCUCCACCCCACUGCCCCCCAACACGUCCCGCACCACCUCCACUCCCCACCUACUGUCCCCGGGUUACCCUGCUUGUAUCCUGUUCCCAAUGUUUCCAACCUUGCAACCCCCACCGCUGCCCCCCACCCCACUGCCUCCACCCCACUACCCCCUCACCGCUGCCCCCCCUCACCACCCCCAGGCUGCUCCGCGGCCUGGACCGGGCUCUGGGCCGCUACGGCACCCUGCUGCGUCUGGGCCGUCUGUUUGGUCUGAUGCUGCUGGUGGCGCACUGGACCGCCUGCCUGUGGCACGGCAUGAGCGAGUGGCUGGACGGUGAGGGGCCGUGGUGGGGGAGGAGGGAGAGGGGGAGGGAGAGGGGGAGGGGUAGGGGCGCAGCGUAGACGUGCAGCAGCCCUCGCCACGCCUCCCCCAAAGACUCGGCACCUCAUUGCAACCGUUCAUUCUGUUUAUACUGGCCUUGUAACACACACCCACACAUACACACACACGCAGACACGCACACACACACACGCACAUGCCCCCUCCCCAGGCUGGCCAUGGAUCUUCACGGACCGCCUGCCGCCCAACGCCGGCUUCGGCCCGCAGUACAUGUGAGUGACAGGGUUGGGGGGGGGGGUUCGUUGUUUGUUCCGAAUCCAAGUAGACCCAGGACCAGCCCACAGAGCGCGAGUGGGCAAGAUGAGUUUCAGCUGUGGUCUGUGCAGGGGGCCUUUAUCACUCUGCUGCACUCAUGCAUUCUGGCUAGCCUAAUCAUGUUGUGUGCACGGAUCAAACCAACCAAGCGGUCAAUGUCAACAACAAGACACACCACGCAACACCGCCACCACACACCGAACACGCCCCCCUCACCCACCCACCCAACCACCCACCACACACGCACACACAGACACACACACACACACACACACACACACACACACACACACACACACACACACACACACACACACCCAACCACCCACCACACACGCACACACAGACACACAGACACACACACACACCUCCGCGCCUGCUCUGCUGCUGCUGCCGCCCCCCGCCCCCCGCCCCCCGCCAGCUGCUCGCUGUACUACGCCUUCGUGCUGGUGGUGGGCAGCGACAACCUGCCCGCCGCAAACAACCUGGAGCGCGUGUUCUACAUUGUGAUGCUCAUGGUGGGCGCCGUGCUGUACGCACUCAUCAUGUCCAACAUGGUGAGUAGCGGAGCAGAGCGGUGGGGAAGGAAGAUGCGAUUUCCCUCGAUUAUGCGUUCUGGUGAUGUCAGUUGCGCCAUAACAUAAAUGAACACACAACACAGAUAAAUCUGUGCCAGCCGCAACGCAGUAUCUCCUCUCCACCCCGCCCCUGCCCCCCUUCCAAACGUCCUUGCAAGCCCCCCUAACCCCCUCCUCUCCCUCCCGGGAUUGGUUCAAAGUUAACCCCCUAACCCCCUCCUCUCCCUCCCGGGAUUGGUUCAAAGUUAACCCCCUAACCCCCUCCUCUCCCUCCCCUCCCCCCUCUUUUCAUCGGGCUCGGGCGCUCUCCUGGUCGCUCUUUUGCAUCUGUUUCGUUCGGGCUGGUAUCCACAAACCCCCCUCCUCCUCCCCCUCGCCCCGCCUUUCCCAGGCUGUGCUGGCCACCAACCUCAACAGCCUGGCCAGCCGCUACAGGACCAAGGCGGCGCUCGUGGCGGACGCCCUGAGAUACGUGGGCGCGCCGCCAGAGGUGGGUGCGGUGGCGGGGCGGAGGGAGGGAAGAGCGAGGGAGAGGAGGGAGAGGAGCGAGGAAGAGGAGGGGGAGGAGGGGGAGGAGGGGGGAGGAGGGGGGAGGAGGGGGGAGGAGGGGGGAGGAGGGGGAGGAGGGGGAGGAGGGGGAGGAGGGGCGAGGGAGGAGGGGCGAGGGAGGAAGGCUGUCAGUGCAGUGAGGGCUUGCCUGCCUCGAGCUUACAGCAUAACGGUAGAUAGCAUGGGUGAUACGAGGCACUGCCUGCCCAUCCCCAUGCCCCCAACCCCUGCACAUCCCCAUGCCCCCACCCGCGCCUUCAUGUAUGUCAACCCCCCUGCCGUACGCCUCCGCCCACAGUUCAGCGCCCGUGUGGCCCAGCACUACGAUUUCCUCACACAGCACGACCACCCCGGUGAGAGCCGUCGCGUGCGUGCGCACACAUAUGCGUGCUGUGUUCCCUUGUGUACGCACGCACACAUACACACAUACACACACAUCCGUAAACCGUCGCUUUGCUGCAUCGCAUACACUGUCUUUGCGCAACGUUCUCCUUGUGCUCUUUAACACACAUACACACAUACACACACAUACACAUAUGUACACACACACACAUGCACGCACACGGACGCGCGCGGGCUCCGAUUUGUUUCCUCAGUACCCUCCUUCCAUAGACAGAUAUCCCUGCACUCACCCACACCCUCCAACCCCCACACCCUCCCCAACCACAGGCCCCGAGGCCGACGCCUUCCUGGCCACCGAGCUGCCUGCUGGCCUGGUGACCGACACCCGCUGGGCGCUGUACGCGGCGGCGUGGGCGCGACUGCCGCUGUUCGGCGGCUGCUGCGAGCCCUUCAUGGCGGCGCUGCAGGUGGGGGUGGGGGUGGGGGCGGGGGGGGAGUGGACCGUUGUGCGUUUGGUGAAAGAAUCCAUUUUCAAAUACGCACAUACACGCACACACACACACACACACACACACACACACACACACACACACACACACACACACACACAAACACACGCACACACGCGCGCACACACACACACACACACACACACACACACGCCACACACACACAAACACACGCCCUCCACCACAGGCCCGCCUGACGCUGCUUGCCUUCACGCCCGGGGAGGUCAUCUACCGGGCGGGCGAGGCGGGUAGUCACAUGUACCUGGUGCGGCAGGUGGGUGGGCGGGUGGGGGGGGGCGUGUGUGUGUGUUGAUGUGUGUGUGUGUUGAUGUGUGUGUGUGUGUGUGUGUGUGUGUGUGUGGAUGUAUGCGUGUGUGUGCGUGCGUGUGUGUGUGUGUGUGUGUGUGUGUGUGUGUGUAUGUGCAGUCGUGGGGUGGAACGAUGUGCCCGGUUGCGGAGUUUUACCAGAACGGUGAUGGCGCAUGUCAGCUGUCGGGCGACACACACACACUCGUACAACCACCGCCGCCGCCACAGGGCCACGUGCUGCUGGUCUCCCCCGACACCCCCAACUCCUUCAACAGCAGCCCCGGCCUCGGCUCCGGCCACACGCGCAGCGACAGCGACAGUGGCGGCGGCGGCGGCGGCGGCGGCGGCGGCGGCGGCGGCGGCGGCGGCGGCGGCGGCGGCGGCGGCGGCGGCGGCGGGUUGGCGGAGGUGGUGCGGCCGGGCGAGGCCUUUGGGCAGCUGGCGCUGUUGCCUGAUCUGGCGGGUCGGCGGCGGCGGUACACGGCUGUGGCGGGGCGGGCCUCGGAGCUGGUGGCGCUGGCGGGUCGGGACCUGGCGGCGGCGUGCCGCGACCACCCCGAGUGCGGGGCGCUGGUGCAGGUAGGGGCGGGUGGGGGAGAGGGGGCGUGGGUGGGGUUUGUGUGUGGGUGGGUGGGGGGGGGGGGUUGCGGUGUUAAGGCAGUGGAUAGGCGUGGGAGGGAGUUGUAAAUACCAGCUCAAACUAAACCAAACCGAGCUAAGCUAGCGGGGGUGAGGGGGGACUCACAAAUGCGCGUCUUCUUUGGCAUGCAUGUGCACACACGUGCCGUACACGCACGUCCACUCACACAGACACACACACACACACACACACACACACACACACACACACACACACACACACACACACGUAUGUAUGCACACACGGCCACAGGAGCGGCUGAUGCAGCAGCUGGAGGACGUGGUGUACGGCACGCACUGGUGCUGGUUCAUUGAAAAGGUAGGUGCGAGGGGAUGAGAGGAGGGGGAGGGAAAAGGUGGGGAGGGAAGAGAAAAGGAGGGAGGGGCGAGCGAAGCGCGCCAACGUUGGAGGAAUGCAACCCGACGGAGCAUCAAUGGUUGCGGUGCGCAUAGGCAAACACGCGAGGUGCGGCGGCUGGGGGAUGUCAGUCAUUGCGUAACUUCGCUUCUAUCUGAGUCCAAAACCCAUAGCCGUAACCCGCCGCCCAAACAUGGCUGGUUGGCUGCAGGUGCUGGUGCCGUACCAGCUGUACGGCGACGUAACCGAGCGGAAGGAGCUGUACGGCAACGGCGGCGGCGGCGGCAGUUCCAACGGCCCCAACCACCGCAACCACCACGUCCACAGAUCGCAGCAGUCCAUAACCGCCUGGCAGCGCACGGCGGCGGUUGAGGCGGUUGAGACCGUUGAGGCAGUGGGUAGCAGCACUGGCGCCGACGGAUCCAGCUCGCCCGGCGGCGCUGCAACCGCUGCCAUGUCACUCCAACCGACACUGUUGCGGCAGCCGUCGGUUGGGGCGGUUGGGGCGGUUGGGGCGGUUCUGGUCAAGAGCGGGUCAACGCGGGCAGUCGCCUUUGCGCCAGACACCGCCGGCGGUAGCGCCAGCACUUCUGCCAGUGGCGUCCAGCCGCCGCCGCCACUGCCGCUGCCGCUGCCGCUGCCGCUGCCUGGGCCACCCCCUCAUCCAGAAGUGGCGUCUCAAGGCGAUACAGCUGGAAGCGGCGGCGGCGGCGGCGGCGGCGGCGGCGGCGGCCGGUCCCCAACGCAGCGCCCCCAGAUGGCGGCGGCGGCGGCGGCGGGCGCGGCGCCUGCGGCCCUGGAUAUGUCCUGGAGUGGCAACGAGGACUGGCUGGAGCAGCAGCCGCGGCAGCACUCGGCGGCGGCGGCGGCGGCUAGCUUGGCGGCGCUGGCAUCCGGCAGUGUCACCGCCGCCGCCGCCGUCGGCGCCACCGGAACCCCAAAGGCCGUGGAUGAGUUCGGCCUUUUGGAUUCCAACAACAGCGACAUUGACCUCUUCGCAUCCAACGCCUCGGCAGCGGCCGCCUCGAAGGCGCCUGGUCUGGUCCUGCCGCCGGCGGUGCUUGAUUCGCUCUCCGGCUACGGCGGUGCCGCCGCCGCCGCCGCCGCCGCCGCCGCCGCCGCCGCCAUUGCCGCCGCUGCCGCCAGUGCAGGCAGCAAUGCGGGCAGUAGCCGGGCCGACAGCAGCAGCGGGCAGCCGGGCGAGGACCUGAUGGACACAGCCACUUUCCUGUCGCUACUGCCGCCCUCGAGACAGCCCUCCGCGCAGCGCCUGCUGCGCAUGACCUCACGACAGGCUGGCAACGGCGACGGCGCGGCACCGGGCGUUGGCGGUGGCGGCGGCGGCGGGACGCAGUCGGGGGCCGCCGCCGCCGCCGCCGCCGCCGCCUCGCUGCUGUCGCUCGUGCCGCUCUCACGCCAGGCCUCAGCGGCACGGCUGCUACAGCGGCGUAGCAGCAGCCGCAACCGCAAUCACACUGGCGGCGGCGCCGCCGCCGCCGCCGCCACCGCCGGCGGCGCUAACGGCCAACUGCUCGACAGCAUAUCUGACCUGGUGGAGAGCCUGAUGGAUGUUUUGCCGCCGUCGGCGCCACACGGCCUGUCGCGGAUGCGCGUCCUGAGUCGCGGUCGCAAUGGCGAAGCGGCGGCGUAUGUGGAUGGCGGCAUUGUCGUUGCCGCUGCCGGUAUUGAGCAAAGCAACCUUUCGGCGUCUAUGGCCGCCACGGCGGCUGCAGCGACGGCGGCGCUGGACGCCCCCGAACCACCAGAGCCGCCGCCGGCGCAAACCACGCCACGGCGGGCGCCGCGCCGUGGCGCAUCGCGCCUUGCUCCCGGCUGGUCGGCCUUCGCUGCGCCCGGAGCGCGGGAGGAAGACCUGGAGGGGGCGGACGGCAUCAGUGCUACAGCCGCCGCCGCCAUUGCCGGAAACAUCAGUGCGCUGCUACAGCCACACCUUAGCGGCGCCGGCGCCGCCGCGGCGCCAACGCUACUACUGCGCCGCACCCGCUCGCGCUUUUUCGGCAGUGAUGGAGGCUCGAUCACCGGCGGCGCAGCUAUAGCCGCCGCCGCCGCCGCCGCUACAGCCGCCUCGGCAAACCCAGGCACUCUUGGAUCGCAGCAGAGCAUCAAGGACCUGGAGGCCAAAGUGAGUGCAAGCGGUGCCGGCGGCAACAGGGAGCUGGGGAGACCGCUCCACCACUCGAGUGGAAGCGCGUUGCGGCUGCUGCCCCUGCAGCCGGCUGUAGGACACACAGCACAUGCGGCGGUAGCGGCUACAGCCGUCGCCGCCGGGGCUGCGGCGGCGGCGGCUACAGCCGACACCGGCGGCGGCGUGUGGCAAGCCUCUGCCUCAUCGCCGCGGACGCGUGCGCGGCGCCGCAGCAGCGAGAGCAGCGCGGGCGGCGGCCGCGGGGCGGGCGGCGGCAUAUCGUCAACGCGCAGCAGCCUGGACCUUGGCGCACCGCCGCCGGCCAAGCCCUAUCGAAACAGUGGCGAAUUCGCGGCCGCCGGUCUUGCCGCUUCGCGCCUGGAGCCGGCGGCGCAGCUGCAGAUGGCGGUGGGUGUGCUGGCACGGAUGCUGGGGGCCGGCGACGCCGCCGCCGCCGCAGCGGCGGGCGCCGCCGCCGCCGCGGUUGCGGCGGUCACUGCUGAGACCGCAUCCGGCGCUGCUGCAACCCAAAGGAAGCGCUCAGGCACUGGAUAUGACAGCAGCAGCGCAGCACGUGCGCUGCUGCUGUCGCCGGCGGCUUCCGUACACGCUGCUGCUACUGCCCCUGCUGCUACUGCCCCUGCUGCUGCUGCCGCUGCUGCUACUGCCCCGGUGGAGGCGACUGCCGUGGAUCCUGUGAUGCCGCCGCCAACGCAGCAGCUGGACGCGAUGAACGGCUCACCGCUGCUGGCGGCGCUGCUGAGUCAGCAGGGCAGCCGCCAGCUGCUGCUGUCCAUAGCCGACGCGGUGGUGAGGCGUGAGGGCGCCGCGGGCGUGCCGGCCGUUGCGGAGGCGCUUGCGGGCGCCGCCGCAGCCGCCGCAGCGGCAACGGCGGCUGCGCGGCAGGCGGCGGCUGCGGAGGCGGAGGCGGCGGUGCGGGUGCUGCUGACGUCAGUGGCUGGUGGGGUUGAGCAGGUGGAGCACACGGUGAGCUAGCCUGGAAUACCGGCGGUGGGGGUUUCGACCAAGUUACAGUCACUGGAUUUUGAGGGGGGCGACCGAGGGCAUGUGGGCUUGUGCGAGAUUGCUAACUCCCUUGAACUGGUUGUCGUACGGCAGGUGGUUGGCCUGGAGGAAUCCGUACGCGCCGCCAACCGCCGCCUGGCGACACUGGAGCGCGACGCGGCGGCGGCGCAGGGCCAAGGCAUCCUGGCGGCGGGCCUGGCGGAGGCGCUGACGCGCGCCGGCAGCAACGUCGACGGCGGCGGCGGCGGCGGUGCUUGUGAUGGCGGCGGCGGCAGCGGCGGCGGCGGCGCUACUGACGGCGAUGGCGGCGGUGACGCCGCCGUCAGCGGCAGUGACGACGACGAUGACGCCACCGGGCUUGUGAAGCAGCUUCGCGCCUGCGUCGCCAGCCUUGGAGCCGGCGGAGGCGCCGCUGCCGGAGGCGCCGUCGGCGGCGGCGGUUGGGCAUCGGACCUCGAAAGUGCAACCGACGCCAGCUGGCUUGCGGCGGAGGGUGCGUGGCCACUGCCGCCGCCGCCGCUUGCGCACGGCGGCGGCGGCGGCGGCGGCGGCGGCGGCGGAGGCGGCGGAGGCGGCGGAGGCGCCGCUGGCGGCAGCUCGCGGAGGUCACUCAACGUGUCGGGCUGGGUGGCGGGAUCAAAUGGCAGCGCCGGCGGCGGCAACACGCGCGGCAGCGGCAGGGGCAGCGGCAGGGGCAGCGGCAGGGGCAGCGGCACCGGCCUUCCUUUCGUGGGGUCAGCGACGGGGCUGUUGGAUGAAUCGACUGGCGGGCGCGACGGCGGCGGUGCCCAGAACAAUCGUCGCUCAAUUGAGAUGCUGGCGGCGGCGAUUUUCAGCAACCAGCACGGCACGCCGCCAACGAUCAGGACUGGUGGCGGGGGCGCCGGGUCGCUGGCACGCACCGCCAGCGUUGGCGACGGAAGCACGUCACCCCGGGCGUCCGCGGCGCUGACGCCAAUGCGGCGGCGGAUGUCUCGGAUGGCGACCAGUGCCCCCACGUCCGCGGCGACACCGCUGCCUGCAGGUUUCGAGAGCAGUGGCGGCGGCGGCGGCGCCGCCGCCAGUCGUGCCGCCAGCCGCGCCGUCAGCCGUGUGCCGAGCCGCAUCAGCCGUGCCUCCCGCCGUACCACCAUGCACAGCAGUCACGGCGAAGACGGUGACGGUGAUGGGGACGAGCUGCUGCUUAGUAAUCAGGACGCCGGGCCGUUCCGCCGCCGCUCCACGGAAAGCGCGGCGGCGCUGUCGCACGCGCUGUCCGGCGUUGUGGAGGCGCUACCCCUUAGCCACAACCGCAGCCGUACUUCCAGCCUGUACGGCGACCCCGCCGUGCCGUACGGUGCCAUGCCGUACGGUGUCGUGCCGUACGGUGCCGCCAGCACCUCCCGGCGCCGGUCUCUGGAUGCGUCCGGCUUUGUGGAGCACUUCUUCCAACCUCAGCAGCACCCACAGCAGUGGCCCUACAUCAGCAGUGCCGGCGGUCACGUCGACGGCGCCGCGGGUGGCGAGCACCUGUCCGCCGACGGCGGCGAACUAGGGGCGCUGCUCCAGGCGGCCAUCGGCGGCAGCAUUGGCGGAGAGGCGCCGGCUGGCGCCGACGGCGGCCCCAAGCACGGGACAGCGACAUCCCGCGAGCGCCGCCGCUCGCGUGCCGUCAUCGGCGACGGCGCCGCGGGCGCCGCUGCUGGUGGCAACGGCGGCGACGGCGCAGCGGUGGCGGUGCUGCCUGGCGCAGAUCCCUUCUCUCCCGUGGGCCCGCGCUCCCGCCGAGCCUCGCUGCUGCUGAUGCAGGCGGCGAUGCAGACGGACGGCGCUGGUGGCGUUACCAUCGCGCCGGGCUCCCCUGCUGCCGCCGGCGCCGCCGGGUUGGGUGUGUUGCCGCGACGCGCGCCGGUCAUCGCCGUGUUGGAUGACUCAGUCGUGGCGGGCGCCGGCAGUGGUGGCGGCGGCGCCGGAGCACGCGGCGGCGUCGCGCCAUCGGAGCGGCCCGGCGCCCGCCGCGCCGCCGGGGCCGGCGGCGCCGCCUCCGGCUACAGCCGCAGUCGCACCGCAGCCACUGAAGGGGUACUGGGGGCGCCGCCAGGGGCCAUGGCGCUCAGCCCAUCGGCGUCGAGUGCGACAGCCAGCAGCGGCGGCGGCUUCAGUGGCUCGCAGUACCGCCGCGCCAGCACCUCCUUGCUACUGCCAUCCGGCGGAGGCGCUGGCAGCAUUGGCAACAUCAGCAACCUCAGUGCGCUUGCCGCCGCGAUCAUGGGCCCUGGUAGUGGCCGCGGCGGCAGCGGCAGCGGCGGCAACCGCACGGCCCCCGCCGCCGGCGCCGACAACGGCGCACCCGGCUCGCCACCUCGGCAGAGCCAAGCCGCCAGCCGCUUAGGCUCGGUGCUACUGCCGCCAGAGGUGUCGUACUACGGCACUGCAGCUGGCAGUAGCAAGGCCGCCAGCCGCCGCAGUAGCCGCGCGUCUGGUGGGGGCGGGCCGGUUGAUGCGGUGGCGAGUGGCGCUGCAACGUCACGUGAAGAGGAUGACGAUGAGGGAGCGGGGGAGCGGGACGAGGGACCGCAGACAGGUGGUGAGGUGGGACAGGAGGCGGCGGUGGUGUAGCAUCAGUUGCUGCUGCGGCGACGGCUGCUCUGACGGCAGCUACAGCUGCAUCUACGGUCACGGGUGGCAGCGAUGAGGCCGUGGGACCACCGCCCCCCGACGGUGCAAGUGAGGCUGGCGCGGCUUGCGGUGGCCUGUUUUCCAGUCUGUUUCGGCGUUCCAAAAGCAGUGGGGGGCGGGUUGUGAGGUAUACGGCAGCACAUGCCGUUUCUCAGCGGUCGCAACUGAAAGUUCAACGUCGCAGCUUUGGGUUCCCCCGGGGGCGCCGUGGCUUCUUUCAUGGUGGGUAUUCAUGCAUUCUUGAAGGCAAUCGCAAGGUCCCAAGUGCUUGAAUUUAAGAACACGAGUGGCAAUGGACCGCAUCGGUCAAACGGACUGGACUGGGGUAACGUUGUCCAGGCUUUUGGGUCCUCCUGCGCACAAACGCAGCAAGGGAACGGGAGAUUCGGACGCGUGGGUCUGGGACGGUGCCGGCGGGGUGCCUGCAGGCAUGCAGGCUGCGACAGCGGUAUUGCAAGCGUUUGUUGCGAGUACAUGUGUAGUGAUGUGUAGUGAGCACGCACUGGUACGCAUGGAUGGAUUGCAACUGGGUCAUGCGGCUGUCCUUGCUUCGAUAUCGUCAUCCUUACCAGUCGAAGAUUGAUUGAUGUUUUAUGGGUUGCCUGGGGGUUUACUGAGCAUAGGUGUCUUGCUGGAUAUACAUGCCCACUUACUUAUCGCCUGCUAUUGAGUUUCUCGAUUGGCCGGUGACAAAGCAAAGUAAAUGCGGCCGGUUGACAUCUCGCAACGUACCGUGCACUAUCACUGCUUUCCCGGUGCGAACAUGCCGACAAACCGAGUGAAGAGUGCCAAGGUCCCGCGUGCCUUGGCGAGGCCUGGCUUGCCAGCUUCUGAGUCAAGUCUAAAGUGAUUGGUUGUUUUCACCAUUUCCAUUAAUGGAAGACCGGAACUAUGGCAGCACAGCAGCAAUUGCGCACCAUCUACACCUGGGGGGGGGGGGGGCACAUGUAUCAGGGCUGCACAGUGCACACCCGGCGUGCAUCACCGGCAGAAUCAAUGCAUCUCGACGUGACUGAUGCAAUCGGGGUGUAUGACUGUGUGCACGCAAUGCGCGUAUGGGUUUGGAGCAUACAGCGAGUGCGUGCUGAUGUGCUUGAGAGCACGAGGAAUAAGGGCACGAACGGCAGUAUUUGCGUGCGUGUGCGUGGAGGGUAACUGGCGCAUGUGUCUCUGGCAAAGAGUUGUAUGACAUGCGAGAUUGAGAUAGGGAGAUGCUGAGAUGUCUUUGUGGAGAGAGGCGAUUUGCUUUGAGGUGGGCCACGUUUAGUGUGGUAGGAUGGUCGUGGGCAAGCGGAGCAUAUCGUAUGGUGGUGAUUGAGUUUUCAAGUCUUUCUGUCAUCCUUUCCUGCUUCGCCUGUGGGACGUGUCAGGGCACGGUGGUGGUGCCGAGGAAGCGUGGAGAAGCGUGGAAUACAGAAAAGUUGGAGGGGCGGGCAGGGGCGAGGCAGUGCGCGUGCUACGCGUGACAGCAUGACUGAUUUGUGCGGUCAUGGGCAGUUGUUUUAAUGCUUUGGUGCGGCGGCUCCAAGUCCUCCAACACUUUACAAUUCACCUGCCCGUGUACCCGACUCCUGCGUUUUUUUUGCGAAAACCGCCCGGCGCCCCUGGACCUACCUAACGUCCUAACCAGGAGGUGAAGGGCCAAACCGUGGGGCCACGGCCUGCCCUGCCCCGAUCCCGAAACCUGCCCCUAGUCAGCCCCGUACCCCACCACCUGCUUUGCUUAUGAUCUUGCCCCUUUCCUGCCCACCACCUGCAGUUUGGCAGCAGGGGCUGAUGGCUUGGCGAGGCUUGGCGAGCAACUCUCGCAGGGCGGCACAACCUGCAGCCGUGCCCACGCGCCCCGACACAGAAGGACCACAAACAGCUUCGACCAUAGCUUCUAUGUCACAAUACACAGCUACUUGCGCGUCCAGGCAAAAGACAAACACGGCAGUUGCUUCAUUACCAUCGGGGCGUUGAGCAGUACAAUCAAAUCGCAGCGAGUAUGGCGCUGUCUUGUAUGAAAAUGCUUUUGUAUGAAACGCACUACAUGUGUAUGUAGAUGGCAGCGCCGCUGCGCCAAGUUCGGACCGCGUUUGGCAAGAAAUGUUUGCAAGGUCGCUCAGGGCAAUUUUAUGGUAGUUAAAAUCUGACCCAGCAGAUGAUUUUGCAUCGAGCUUUUGGACAGAAGCUCUUUUUCGCGAUAACGACAGUCUUCCCAGUGCUGGCACUGCCGAGAGGCGGCAGGAGGCAUCGCGCGACUCAUCUGAUGCACCACAUGUGCCACUGAAAAGGUACGCAACAGCAGAAGCGUAUGGAAGCUGACGGCUCACAUCCUGGCGCCAAACGCGAGCACUGCGAUUCUGUCUACCCAGCUUGUGGAAGCGUAACAAAAUGAGUUCAAGUACAUAGUGGACUGGGCCCGGAAGGUUCGUCCGGCCACCGGCUUGCGCGCAAGCGAGCGCUACUUGGCAGAGAAACAUUGCCAUAUACCCUUGACAUGAGCCGUUCUACUGUAAAAAACCGUUUUCGCUAUUAGGUUGGAGGCUAGCUCCUUCGUCGGCUCCGCGAGCUCGGACGCCGGCUUGCGCGACGUGCCACGUAGCGGGGCAAGUCUCAGAGCUCCUAACGCGCUUCAGCCUGCCCUGUAUGGUUUGAAGCACAUACGCUUAAUAUGACGGACAGCAGCAGUCGAUGUGCGACCAACCGUGUUGCAAGUUGCGCCGCUCUGCGGGCCCUUCCCCUCCAUUGCCUGGUUGUAAAUGCUCCUCGCUUCGACGGCCGCGCCCUCACAGAUACAUGAAUGAGCCUACCUCCUCAACGGCUGCUGGCAUGCUGGCCGCGGAGGCUCCUGCAGCGGAGACGGCCGCUGUGGCGCAGGUGCGGCGUAAGCAGCGUGGGGAAAGCGGUGUAGGGCGAGGUGUGGCUUGGGAGAAGGAAGAUGCCGCGUGCCGCAACAGCUGCGUGCAGGGUACGUGUGCUGCUGGCUGCAUGCGCAAUGGGUUGCUGCAUUGAGCAGCCCAUGGCUUCCAUCACCUCACGUCCACCCUGCUGAACAUGUGCUGACGGGUGGGUCGAAGGGCCCUUCAACACACGCUCCACUCCGCUCGACCACCCACGCUCCACCCCCAAUCCACCCACACCAACCCCACGCCACCCUACUCACCCCCACGCCACCCAUCCCCCAAACCCCCAACCCCACAGCUGGACGGCCUCCAGCUCAUUGCUGCGGGCGCCGCCUCCCGCAGCCUGGUGUUCCGGGGCACAAGCGGCGGCCGCCGCGUGUGCGUCAAGUACAGCGCCGCACGGGAGGCGGAGGGCCUGGCGGCGCCCGCAGCCGCGGGGCUGUUGGGCCCGGUGCUGAUCCACCCCCACGUGAUCCGCACCUUUGGCUGGCACAUCACGCGCCUCACGGAUGCGGAUUUCCAGGAGUCUUCAAAGCUCGCUGGCGAGGCCGGGGCGGCGGCUGGCGCUGGCGCUGGGGCGGGGGCGGGGGCGGGGGCGGCUGGCGCUGGCGCUAGCGCGGGGGCGGCUGGGGCUGGCGCUAGCGCGGGGGCGGCACAGCCCGACAUAGAGGACCGGUUGAGACAGCCUCAGCAGCUGUUGCCGCAUGAACCACAGCUGCAGCAGCAGCCCGGUGCAGGUGAUGCGGAGGAGGCGCGGUCUGCGCCGCCACUGCGCGGCCGCAGGGGCCGGGGUCUGCUAGCGGCGCUCUGUUUCUGUCUGGAGCCCAGCCAACUCCCUGACCAGGAACAAGAGGCUGAGGCGAACACCCGCCGUCUCCAAGCAGCGGCGGCCGCGGCCGCGGCCGCUGCGCACCCGGACGACGCCAACAGCCACGACGGUGCCAGCGGCGUCGGGUCUGGCGAGGGCGGCGCGGCUGAGCUGGACGGCUGCCCGCCGGCCGCGCUGGAGGCGGGCUGGGGGCGGCUGCGCGCCAUCUUGCGGCGCCUGGACGCGCGGCCCGGCGACUACCUCACCCGCAUUGUGAUGGAGGACGCAGACCUGGGCUCUCUGGCGGGAGCCAUACGCAACACCACAGCCGCCACAACCGCCACAGGCGGCGCGGCCGCACCCGCUGGCGCCGCGCCCAGUGGAAGCUUGGGAGCAACAGUGGGAGGUGGUGGUAGCGCAGGCGGAGGUGGCGGCGGCGGCGGUGUCUCCGUGGGUAUGGUGCGGCGCAGCGCCACCGGUGGUGCUGCGGGCAUGGCCCCCGGCACGCCUCGCUCCUCGUUUUCGAUGGCGCUGCUGCAAAUGUCAUCGGCGUCCUUCCAGCUCCCGCACUCGCACUCGCAGCAGCUGAGCCGGGCGCUUCCAGGGCCGUUGUUCUGCGGCGACGCCGACGGCGGCGAGGGGCUGCAGUGGCUGCUGAUGACGGCGCUGGACAUCGCCGCAGGCAUGCUGCACCUGCACUCACACCAAGUCAUUCACGGUACGGAGGAGGUGGUGGCAAGACAGGACUGCUCGCUAGCGGUAGAUACAUCGAGGUUGCGCCCUCUUUGGGGAGGGCCGUGCGUGGGCUAAGGGAUGGGCUAUGGGGUGGGCUUUGGGGUGGGCCUUGGUUGGGCCUUGGGUCGGCUUUGGGUGUGCCUGGGGGGCUUGGAGGUGCUCCGAGGGCCGCCGGGGUUGGGCUGCUGCGAACCGAGCAACAAACACGUGCCCGCGCGCUCUCCCGCUCAGCCCCUCCCAUCAACCUGCUUGGCUCCCGGUGUCGGUGUCCCUGCCAGGUGACCUCAAGCCCGGCAAUGUGCUACUUGUGAGCGACCCGCAUGACGUGCGCGGCUUUGUGGCCAAGGUGCGUGCAGCUGCGUACAUUACGACCUUAUGGGUAGUUGCGCUGGUGUGCCCGUAUGUAUGUUUAGAAGAGCCCGCCUCGAAACGCAUCUAUAAGUUCAGCCAUGAGUACCGCUCCAAGCGCCCUGCGCAGCCCGCGCUUUUUUCCCGUCUGGCCCCGCUGCCCACGCUGCCUCAUCCUAACACCAUUGUACGCCCAUACCCCGCGCCCAUAAACCCCAAAACUCCAUCCAAACAGAUCACUGAUUUCGGUCUGUCGCGGUUGGUGGGCCACGAACCCUCCCUGGACAACCACGACCUUUACGGCACGGUGAGCGAAUGCCCCUAUGCCCUCUUUGUGCUCUUACACAUGUCACGCUGGGUUUUCAUCAGGUGGAUUGCUGGCGUGCCUGCGGCCGUUAUGGGUCGCUUGUCAUUGCGCGCUGCUGCAAAUGCGCCGUUCGGCUGCACGCAUGCACACAACAACAACUGUAACAGCACACAUGCACAUGCACAUGCGCACACGUGCAGGUGCGCUACAUGGCCCCCGAGGUCAUUGACGGCCGCAGCUACAAGUCCAGCGACGUGUGGAGCUACGGCGUGGUGGUGUGGCAGAUGGUGACAGGCGAGGUGCCCUGGCCCGGCCUGCGCAGCAUGCAGGUCAUGAUGGGCGUCCUGCAUGUGAGUCCGCAUGAACACAUACAUGCACCUGCAUGCAAACAUGCACGUGCAUGUGCACUUGACGGGCCGCGUUACGCGUGCGGCAAUCCGGCGUUGCUCCGGUGGUGAUCGUGCAGUGCGUACCACUCCACAGACUUUCUGUGCGGGCGGUGACAAUGGCGCGCCUCCAGAUGCCGCGAUUGCCUUCACCCCUGUGCCGCAUUUCCUUUCAAACGCCUGACACGUACGGAAUAUGCGUGUGUCUGACGCACGCGCUGCCGCUGCAGGGCGAGCUGCGCCUGUCGCUGCCGCCGCGCACGCACCCGCGUCUGGCGGCGCUGCUGGAGGCGUGCCUGGACCACGACCACAGCCGGCGGCCGGGCUUUGACGAAGUAGCCUGGCAGCUGCAGGUGCGGUGGCGGCAGUGGUAUGUUGCUGCUGAGGGGCGGUGGCAUGGGCGGUGGGUGGGUGGGUGGUGGGAUGAGGUGCGAUUGCAAUAACGAUUGCGGUUGCGAGUGUACAGAGCUAGAGUGAGUGCAACGCUCGCAAAGGCUGCGCGUGCUCACGUGUCUGCGCAACACGCCUCGACCUCACGUGUCCAUGCCAUCCCCGCUUCCGUGCACGAACAGGAAAUGCUGUUGAUGCACGACAUCGCAGUGCUCGGCCCGGGGCCCCUGCUGUCGUUGCCGGCAGGAGAGCUGCCCGGAGAGGCCGGCGACGAGGGCGCAGGCUUCGCCACCGCCACCACCUCCACCACCACCACCACCGGCGCCGCCGCCGCCGCCACCGCCUUGGGCGGGAGGGCUCCACAUGAAGUUGCGGCCACCGUCGAGACUGGUGCUGAUGCAGCUUCCGUGGAGGCAGGCGCCCUCGGGCCGCUGCCUGCACUGCCACCGGCACCGCCGCACCUGCGCCCGCCAGCCUCCGCGCCCCAUGACAGCCCAUGGCUGCGUCUGGCGCCCGCCGCGCCGCCCGUGCCCGCACUGCAGGCCGGUGGCGCAGGUGACGCCGCCGCCGCCUCGCACAGCACGCUGGACGUGGAUGCCGAGGUGCUCGCCGCCGGCGGCGUGCCGGGAUCCACCGCCGUAACCACGGCGGCUACUGGCACCGGCAAUCUCGUCAGCGCGGCGUCAGCUUCUGCUUACAUUGGCGGAGCCAGCGGCAUCUCCGCCGCCAACACGCCCAUAUCGUCGGCGGCGCCGCCAGGCGCUGCCGGCACAGCUUCAAUUCAUGCCGCAAUCCGCGGCGGCGCCAUCCAAACGGGUCCGGUGUCGGCUGACGCCGCCGCCGCGCCGCCGCCGCGCUUGUCGACGGCGCUGGACGCCUCAACUCCGGGCAUGGCCAGCGCCGCCUCUGCAGCUGCAGCCGCCAGGGGCGCCCGCAGCUGCAUCCACGCGUACCAGAGCCAGACGGCGUCGAGCGUGGCGGGCGAGGGCUCGCUGUCGAGUGGCCUGUACGCCUUCGUCAACAUGUUUGCGCGCGAGCUCGCACCGCUACCGCCGCCGGCCACUGCGACAGCCACAGCAGCCACUGCAGCCACUACGGCAGGCGAUGCCGCCGCAGAGGAGCGGCUGCGCUCGCUGGCUGCCUCAGCCGCCCGCGGCGCCCGCGGCUUUGGGGAGGGCCCGGCGCCGCCGAGUGGAUCCUACGCGAUGGACGCCGUCCUGUCCGUCCCACACAGCAGCGGCCCCGGAAGCCGCAGAGCAUCUGCGCACGGUGCCGCGCGGCCGCGGACCGCCACCGGUGUCACUGCCGUCGCGGGCAGCGCCGCCGGGGCUGACGUCACUACAGCGUCGCAGCUGGUGACUGCGGCGGGGGGUCGCGGCCGCGGCGCCCGGGGCUUGUUGUUCGUGGAUUCAGUGCGAGGCGGCGGUGGCGGCGGCGGCAGCGAGGGACGAUCACAGCCGUUCUUCCUGUCUGGUGCGUCUGCGUUCCUAGACGUCCUGCGCAGCCCCAGCCGCAGCCGCCGCGGCGGCGCCGGCGGUGCGGGCCCUGCAGCCGCUGGUUCGCCGGCGCGCACCGGCAGUGCCAGCGGCGCGCCGGGCGGCAUGUCGGUGGCCGCAGCGGCCGCCGCAGCCGCCAGUUCGCCCUCCACAGGCCCGUCUAGCAACAACACCGCAGCGCCAGCCGCACCGGCGCUGGCGCCAACAGCAUCCGCAUCCGCGGCCGGCACUGGUGCUAUGGCCGGCAGCGUUGCCGAGCUGCUGCGCCACGCGGUGCGCGCCAGUCCGCUGCAGCCGCUGCCGCAGCGGCGGACGCACCCGUCCUUGCCGCCAGCCGCUGCCGCCGCCGCCACGGGCCGCACCUCUCGCGACGUGCCGCCCCACCCCGUGCUGCGCGACCUGUACCCCCAGCCGCACCCCGCCCCCGCCGACGGCUCCGGCGCCGUUGCAGUCGACGGCAGCAGCGCAACCGCCUCCCUGACCUGGGACAGCUUGUCACCCUCGCUCCUUGCAGCCUACCUGCCGCAGCCACAACCGCACCCGUACACAAACCAGCACCCGCUGCAACCCUUCGCCGCCGCCGCCAUGCGCCCCCCCUCCGGCGCCGCCUUCCCAGCCUACAUGGGCCCCUCGGCCGCGUCGCUGGCGGCGGCAGGCGGCGCUGGCGGCGGCGGCCGCGCCACCUCUGACGUGGACACAGCCGCAGUGCGGCUGAUGCUCGCGUCCUCGGAGCGCGGCAGUGCCUUUGCCGCGCUGGCCACCGCCGGGCCUCGCGCCGGCCAGGCGCCCCUCUUCCCGCCGAGCCGCGUGCGUGAAGACGGCGGUGCAGCAGCCGGCGGAGGCGCGCCCGCCGCUCGCGCGGCCACCUCUGCGUUCGGCGGCGCUGGGAGCGGCAUUCUCAGCACUGCGGGCAGUGGCGCCAUGCCGCCGGCUGCAGCCGCGGCGUCCGGUUCGGCCUCCGGUUGGAUCGGUACUCCCGCGAGUGGUGCCGCGGCAGGUGCGGGCCGGCCCGUUGGCCCGCCCAGCCUGGGCCUGCGCCUAGCCUCCGGGUCCUCGUCCUCCUCCACCUGCGCCGCAGUCAUACCCUCCACCAGCGUGGCCACGCUGCAAACCGCGCCCUCCUACGCCAGCACCUCUUCCGCCACCAUUGCCAGAGCCGGCUCCUCAACCCCAGCCGUCGGUAGCGCGGCGGCAGCAGCAACGACCGCCCCCGGCACCGGCGGCGGGCCCAACAGCAGCGGCGCGCUGUCGAGUACUGUCAGCAGCAGCAGUGUGCUGGGCCCUCAGCGCAGCACGGCGGGCAGCAGCAGCCUUGGGCGGCCCUAUUUCCCAGGCCCUCGCCGCCAGCAGAGCUGGGGGCAAAGCGCCUGGACCACAGGGGCCGGCGGCGCCGGCGCCGGCGGUUUUACUGGUGGCUUCGGCGGCGGCGGCGGCGGCUGGAUGAUGGGGUCGACGCUGUCCAACGUUCAGCCCACCGCCGCCUUGCCGGGUGCGCCGAGUGGCACCGCCGACCGCACCAGCGGCGGCAGCACGCUGGGCACCUACGGUGGCGGCACCUGGACGCACGGCACCCGCACCCGCAGCACGUUUGACCGCAGCCACAGCGCGCUUGGCGCCUCGGGAGCAGGCCGCGGCUCGUGGGAGCUUGCGCCGCAGCCGUAUGGUGGAAUCGGCGUCGGCGUCGGGGCCGGGGUUAGGGUCGGAGUCGCGACCGUGUCGCCAUACGCGCUCAUGUGCGAGUCGCCUUUGGCGCCCGGCGGUCCCGGCGCCAUGAGUGCGGGUGCGGGUGCCAGCGCCGGCGCGGGUGGCAGUGGCACCGCGGACGGCACAGGCUCGCAGCGCUGGCUGCGUCAGCCGUUGUCGUACCACAUUGUGCCGCAGCCGCCGCUGCUGCGCCCGCCGGCCCCGCCGCCGCAGGCGCUGCUGCAGCAGCACAGUUACCAGCUGCAGCAACAGGCGCAGUACGGGCGACGCAGCGGCAGCGGCCGCAGCUGGGAUCCGCCGCUGCCGCAUUCGUCGUCCUCGGCGCGGCCCACGCCCAGUGGCAGCCUACUCAUGAGUCCAAGAGCGGCGGCGACCGGCGGCGGCAUGAGUGGCGGCGCGGCCGCUGCCGGCACGCGCACCGGCACCGGCACCGGCACAGGCGUGGACGGCAGUGGCUCGGCCUCGGUCUGGGCCGAUGCGGAGGUGCCGUUGGAGCUCCUGGACUGGCGGGCGGUGCAGGUGAGGGCGGGUGGGGCCCAGGCCCGUAGUAUUGGUCUUGGUCGUGGCGUGUGUGUUGUUAAAGAGCACAGUGUGUGUGUGUGUGUGUGUGUGUGUGUGUGUUAUUGUUGCGUGUGUCCGUGCGGUCUGUUUGUGGCAAUAAGCGCUUCCCUUUCAGGCAGAGGGAUAGCAAGCCAUGUACUUCCACCAACGUGCAUGCAUGGUUGCCAACCGUGGUCAUCCACCCUGCAGGAGAAAUUCAAGCGGGAGCUCAGUGUGGUGCGCCCGCCGCCGUUGGAGCCCCUGAGGACGACGGGCCCCGGGCAGCAUCACACCCAGCAACGGCAGGAUGGGCAAGGCGGCGGCAUGGGCACAGUGCGGAGCGUCCUGGGACCAGUCGGCGGCGCCACGAGCACUGCGGGUACUGCCACUGCCAGCGGCGAUGGCGGCGGCAGCGGUGCUGGGGGCCUGUCGCCGCUGACUUCCUUGGAGCCGCCUUUCACAUUGGGCGGGUUCAUGGCCAUGCCUUCCACCAGCAUGGACAGCGACCAGCGCACCUCGGCGUUCCUCAGCGCAGGCGGCGGCGGCGGCGGCGCGGGUGGCCCAGCCGCCUGCGGCAGCAACAGCAGCGGCAGCUUACGCCACUCCUCCUUCUGGAGCUCGCAGCUGUCGCACUCGCAGCUGCUCGCCUCCUCCUCGCACGUGCUGCAGCAACAGCAGCAGCAGCAGCAGCAGGCGUCCGCGUCUCUGCAGCAGCUGCCCGCGUCCCUCUUGGUCAUCGGCAACCUGCCGCUGCCACUGCAGGCCGGCGGCGGCGUGCUACUGCCAAUCCGAGAGGAGCGGCCCGCCUCAGCCUCUGCCGGCAGCAACAGCCGGGAGACCUCCGACAGCCGCACCCACAGCCACAGCCAUAUUUACCCGGCUAGUCUGGGCGGCGGCAGCCGCGGAAGUAGCACCAUGGGCCUCGUGGCUGCCUCCGCUGCCGUGGCGGCGGGUGCUACAGCAUCGGGCCAUUUUCCGUUGCGCCGCGGCGGGCGGCGCUACAGCGCCAGCGCGGCUGUAGUGGCGGGCGUUGCAGGCAGCGCCGGCGGUGGCAUUGGUGGUGGUGGUGGCGGCGGCGGUGGCGGCGGCGCAGUCGACAGCGGCGGCCUGACCAGCGGAGGCGGCGUGGGAAGUGCGGUGGAGGUAAUGAGCCUGGACGCGGAGGGAUUGCUGAUUGCUGCGCCGCUGCCAGGCGGCAGCGGCAGCCGUAGCAGGAGCGGCAGCGGCAGCCGCAGCAGGAGUGGCAGCGGCGCCGGGGGCACGGGCAGCAGCAGCCGCGGCUUUGGCAACAGCAGCGGCGCGAGUCACAUGAGUGGCAGUGGCGGCGUCGGUGUUCUCGGUGGCACUGUCCGGGACCCGCACCGCCGCGUGCUUGCCGUCACGCUCCAGCAGCAGCACAGCCAACAGCACCCCCCGGGCGAGCACGCCCACCGCACGCCGGCCGCCGGACACGCCGCACAACACUCGGAGGCACGCGCCGGUCCUAUCGCAGUGGCGGCGGCUGCGGUGCCUGCAGCAGCAGGGGCAGGGGCGCAGCAUGCUGGUCUGACCGGAGCGGAACGAGUGGACUCGGUGGCAAUGGCCCCAGCAGCAGUAGCAGUAGCGGCAGCGGCAACAACGGCGGGCCUGAACUCGGCGGCAGUCCCCGACUAUGACUUGCUCUUCGACCGGCUGCCGGCUUGGCUGGGACCGCUGCCGCCAGUGCAGGCGCAGCCUGUCAUUGCUACGACGGGCGGCGACAUUGCUAUUGCUGCGCCAGCGCCCAGCAUGAGUGUGCGCACAACAGCACCAGGGCCGCACGCAGGUACGGCGGCUGCAGCUGGUGUGUUGGAUGUCGCCGGGAGGCAGUCUCCGGCGGAUGCAAGCGAUGAGGAGCGCACACGCAAGAGAUGAUGGACCCGGGGCUGGUGGCCCUCAAGGAUGGGCCCUCACCUCACAAGCUAUUGUGGCAGCGGCAGUGCGCAGAUGUGUGCUGGGCAGAGUGUGCUUGGAGCAUGCGCAAAACCAGGAAUCCCUUAGGGCCUUAGGGCAUCGCUGUUGCGUUGUGGCGCACAUGCCGCGCCCGUGCCGCAGACGGCAUGUGCCAAGGGACCGGCUCACCGGCCUCAGCGGCGGCACCUUGUGAAGCAUGGGACCAUCUGGCCGACAGUCCCGAUAUGUGUGUUUGUGCGCGAGUGGGGGCGCAUACUUCACUUGCGCGAACGGAGUAGAGUAGGGCGACAUCGUGGACACUGUGGCCGUGCCCUCCGUCGUCAACACUUGUUGCUAUGACGCAAUCGACAGGCGUUUGCAUAUGGUAACUGUCUCGCACUCACGCAGCACAGUUGCAUGCAGGCGCAGCCACCCGUAGAUGCAAAUGCAGAUUUGAGGACUGAUGAUUUGAGUACUAAUGAUUUGAGACUGAUGAAUUUCUUGGAUUUCCUCCAGGGAUUCACCCAUGGGGUUUAUAACCUGACGCCUGGCUUUCUGCGCUUUCCAUCGGGGAGGCCACUCACUACAGCGCAGGGGUGAAACGUGCCCAACUCCGAGACCAGGAGAAGAUGAAACGACCGCGGAAAUGUACUGAUGAUUUAUGAGGUGAACUAACGAGAUUUAUAAAUAUUAUUAACACGAUUCUAGCGCGCCGCUGCGCGGCAUGCUGACGGGGUCGCGCCAACGACUGGCACGGUUGAGGCAACGCGUUGGGUGCUUGUUGUGAGAGGUUCUGGGGCAUGGGCUAUUUACGGUCGUCGCAUUGUUGCGGUUUCGACAAGCACAUCCAUGUUUGUGACCGCCAAUAAGUACAGGGCCACGAAUUGGGUGAGUAUCCGUCGACGAGGCGAGGCCGCUUCGGCGGCCGAUAGCCCCCAUACACCCGCCACCGACACAAAGUGUCGAAACGCUUAGGGCAAAGGCGGCCCUGUCGCUGGAUGGUGGCUGGCCGCUCUUUGCGGGUGGGUUGCGGCGCCUGGACGAGGGCGGGCUCGAGGGCCCCGCUAACUCCGAGAGGAGAAUUGGAAAAGGCCGCGGUGUCUGUGAACUGCGAACUAAAUGUAUUGGUAAUGCAUGGGCGAUGGCGUGUGCUUAGGCGUGUGCUUUUGCUUGCCAACGUCCCUACACAAGACACACUGCAAAGCGCACCCGACCUGGCGCGGGGGUAUUUGCUUGCCACGGCGGUUGGAAACCUGCGCUGCGCAAAUAAAGAGCCUGUGGUCGAUGUGUCGCAGACAGCUGCGGCGCUGUGAAUGCAGCAUUCCCGGAUUGACGAUGUUUUCUAUUGCACCGGCACGAUGCAUUCUAGUCAAGAAAGCAGAUGUUUCCUUGACGGUAUGCACGUGCAUGCAUACGAUUGCCCGCGGCAAGCACGCGGUUGUUUACAUGCGGGGAGGGGUGUGUGCCAGACGACGAUGUGGUCGUCCCACCACACGCUUCAUGUUCACAAUCACAGUGCGCUAGUGAUGGCUCUGUGGUGUGAUGGCGAAUGUGGCGUGCAUCAAGGGCACACUGCGCACUGUUUGGCGCGCUGUGCGCUCGAGGUCUGUCCACAUUGCGAGCAGGGGUUGCGGGGAUUCUGACUUGCACGGCCUGUUGUUGUUGACUCUACGCCCUGCAUAAUGUUCUGGAAGGGAGUAUUGUUUUGGGCGGGAAUAUGGCUUUCGAGGUGUCUAGAGGGUUGAACUGUAAACUUGGGCGUCCGCAGCAGUGUUGCAGAAUUCAAUCAUAGCCUGCGCUUCACGCAGUAAUCAAGCAGAACGGAAUAGAUCUGGCCUGAUCCUUUUAGCUUGUAGCAGUAAGCCGGGGUGCUGGGGUGCUGGUGACAACAGGCAUCGCAGAACGCGCACGAUGUGCCGUCUGCCAGCAACACAUGCUUCAUAAUUGACGACUAUUCCGCUUGCCGUUUGGGGCAUCUUCAGCAUCUUGGGGUGAAAUUCAGGUGCAAUGAUGCGGUGCAGAUUGUGGGUUGGCGCAAGUUGUUACGCUGCAUUGGCAGCAGGCAACAGGCUGCACAUCUGCUCCAGAUGAUGGCACUGGAGCCGCGAUAGGGUUGUGUGCGUGUUCCCCUGCAGCAGGCCUGGGGUGAAGGGAUCAGCGAAUCACACAUGUAAAGCAAUGCGGUAUGAGAGGGGUAUGAGAGGGUGUGAGAGGGGUAUGAGAGGUACAGGUGUGUGGUUCAUUUGUCCCACAGGGAAUGAAGGAAGCCUGAGCUGGGGGCUCUUUGUACUGAGGUGGUUAUGGGGCGUGCAUGUGUGGCAGCCGUGGUUAUUGCGACCACUGGGCUAGGCUAAGUGCAGGGGCUGGGGCGGGCCGCAGGAGCAGGUUUGGGAGGAGGUUGUAUUGCGCGUCAGGAAUUCCAGAAGAAAUCCAAAUUUGUUUCAUAGCACGCGCGUUUCAUGAUGUGCGUACCCGGGCUUGGGGGAUACUUUUGGGCCUGAGGGUUGUACCUUCCGCUUCUCAGGAGUUAAUAAAGCAACUACCAUACGCACGGCAUUUGCGAGUCCAAUAAACGUGGACGCUGUUUGAACGGCCCUCCGUAGGGGGGACAUCCCGUGAUGGCGGGCUAGUGACGAGGCUGACUUGGCUGCAUGCCUCGUAUCCAGCAAAUGAAUAUGAGUAUAUAUACCGAAGUGUCGGUGAAGCUGUUUCAUAAGUAUCCAAACAUGCACAUUUGAAGUGGAGUUCCGGGUUGACAGUGGUUGAGGCGACAUGCUGCGCGGCUUCCUGGGACCACGGCAGUUGCCUGACGUGCGUGAGGCCGCAUGUCCGGAAGAUGACCCGGGGCACUACUGCCACUCUAUAAGAGCGUUGUGCUUUUUGGGCUGAGUGUUUGGCAUGUGGUAGGGAGGGGGGGUGCCCCUUACUUGGUGCCGUUCACCACGGUUCACCACGGUGCGGAGAGUGAGCCGCCGGGUGCGGUUAGGGCUUAGGGCCGGAGUGCCGGACGCCUGACACGUGCCACCCCAAAGAGUCCUAACGGGCACCGUCAUUUCGCUGAGUGUGGUGUUCGCUGCACCCGGUCCAGGAUAACUGUUUUAGUUUGUUUUGGGCGGAUUUGUGCCGUACUCCCAGCGGGCCAGUGCUGCGAGGAGACGGCGUACUUGAACGGGGGAAUUCCUGACUCAUCGCCUCCGUCGAGGCGUCAUUAGGUAAAAAUAUUACGGUCGGUGUACACUGGCCUGCGGCCCUUAAUGAAGCGUACUUGCGUGUAAGUGUGUAACACAGGCAUGUGCCGUGCUCCGGUCCUCCGAAGUUGGAUGCGCGUACCGCACACAGCAGAGUCCGGUACUGGGGGGUCCGGGGUUGACUAGAUCGCCCUUCCCCCCGCCACCCCCCCUACGACCGGCAACUGGCCCGACGUGACCGCCCAGUGUGCUGCAGCCUGCGCUCUUACAGCCUCAGUCCCUUACGCCCCAGUCGCCGUCAAGUGCGCCUGGUACGUGCCGAGCGCUCAAGUCCUACUUCCAUGCAGAUCUCAUGUCAAGAUUCGCCUGCGAGGCGCCCCGCUGAAGUCAGCCGUGUGCUCAGCCGCAGCCAGUGAGCUCUUAUUUUCAAACGUGUGUAAAGAGAGGCAGUCGGCUCGUCGCUUACGGAAAGCCGCUUGUUGCACUUUUGCAAGCGCGAGACUUUGGCGACUCACUAGACAGGUCUUCCAUCCAUUUUAAUAGUCACAAUACCUCUCCGGGUAUUAUUUAUCCGUCGCAAGUAGGUCAGGAUGCUGUUGUCCGGGCGCUGCAAGCGUGGCCCGUCUCGAUGUGUUCGCGCCGGGGCCUCCUCUGGUUCGAAUCCUCUCAUUCCUCGGCAUGGACAGCCACAGCUAUCAAGCAUGGGACCGUCGCGGCAACAGCUUGCCUCAGCGCCAAAUGCGGCUUUUGCAGAGCUCGAAGCGCUGCCCGCAGAUGAACCAGCUGCUCCGGCUGCGGUUUCCAAAUGCCCAGUCACACAAAUGAAGAGCGCACUUAGCGCAUUUGUGCGUGACUCUGGAGACCAAGUUGCCGAAACCGGAGCGCCAACCGCAACGCGACCAAUUCCUGGGCCAGCACCGCUCAGUCUGGAAGCACUGAAGGUAUAAUACGCAUGCGAGGACGCUGUGUGAGCGUGUUCUUGGACGACGUUGGCCACCGCCUGAGUCACGAUGGACUCCCGCUGGUUCGCGCCCCAAUCUCGGACAGGACGUGAGCGUCAUCUUCUUCGAGGGCUUGCACGUGGCACAGCUCAAAUUCAGCGAGAAGUACGGGCCCGUCUGCCGGUGAGGCUCGCCGCGGCCCGCGCAUCGCUACCCGCUGCGAUCCUCCGACACAUCCGCAACACCCCGUCUCGCCACCCAAGAUAGACCCCGCCAAAGCGCCGGCCGCCAUCGCACGCCUUGACAAACAUUCCGCUUUCCCGCCCUGGUCCCGGUCCCUGCAACCAAUUACCCUUGCAGCUUCGCCAACCCCGCCUCGCUCAACGGCGCCACCAGCUGGGUGUUCAUCAACAGCCCAGAGAACAUCCAGCACGUGUGUGCGACCAACGUGCGCAACUACAGCCGCCGCUACCUCCCCGACAUCUACACGUGAGUCCCAGUAGUUCCGUGCAGGCGAGAUCCAGGGAGAUCCAGCAUGCCGUACUGGGCGCUGGCAGCGGGGCUAUAUGGGAGGGGAGGCGAGGAAGGCCGAAGGGUGCUUAUUGCACUGCUGCCGUGCAUGGGCCCGUGGUAUGGUUCGGGGAGGGGGGGGGGUGCGGGGCAGUGCGGGUGCGGGGUGUGCUGCACGUGGCAGCAUGCGAUGUGUAUGAGGGCUGUGUACGCAUGAGGCUGGGCCACCACAGUACCACACUACCACCGCAUGUGUGUAUGUUCCCUGGUGCCCAUGCAUUGAGCGGUCCGUGUGUGCAUGCAUGCGGGUCUUGUGAUUGUGGCCUUAUGCGUGCCUGCAGGUAUGUGACGCACGGCAAGGGCAUCCUGGGCUCGCAGGUGCGUGCGGUGCACCCGCCGGAUCCAAAAUGCAGCAGCAAUACGGUACUGGAGCCGCGUGCCAGCCGUCAUGCUGCCGUGUCGUGUUUUGCCGAAGUUUCGGUGCGUUGGAGGACGGUCCGGCCGAUGCACGUCCCACUGAGCCAAUCAAACGCAGGCAAUGACCGCACACCUGAACACACGUACGUAACCAACCUCACAGGACGAGUACAAUGCGCGGCACCGGAGGCUGUGCUCGGGCCCCUUCCGCAACAAGUGGCAGCUGCAGCGCUUCUCAUCCGUGGUUGUGGAGCGGUGAGGCCGGGCGGCUGCCGGCGUGUGUGUGGGGUGGGGGUAAGCGGGUACGGAUACGGUGGUGUCGUGCUUGGGUUACGGGCGGAUGUGGUCGUGCGUGGUCCCUGCUAGGGCGCAGCAGCAUGCACCGCAUGCCGUUUGUGAGGGGUGGGAAGAAAUGAAUACAGCAGGAUCAGGGGGCAGCGCGGGAUGCUUCUGGCACCUUCUGGGGCCAGCGCACAGUGCGCAGGCGUGUACCGGCCAGGCAUACAUCCCGAACAAAUCAACACGACCCGGCUCGGUUAUCUCCGCCACGGCUGGCUACGUGACCGCCGUCGUUCUUCACCACCUGCCGCACACAAUGCAAUGCAACACGGCACACUACACCACAUGACAGUCCAUGGCCUCCUCUCCCUACCUCUCCCAUACAAUGCAACGCGACACGCCGCACGCGCAGGUCCAAGCGGCUGGUCGACAUCUUCAGUGCCGCCGCCGCCGCCGACCCGUCCGGCGCCUUCACCACCGACGUGGCCACCCAGACGCAGCGGCUGACUCUGGACGUGGUGGGGCUGGUGGCGUUCAGUCACGACUUUGCGUGCGUGGAGCAGGUGCAGCGGUGAGAGGGCUGAUGAGAGAGCGUGUGUGUGUAUGCGUGGGAGAGUGUAUGUGUGAAUGUGCCAGCGUGUGUGGCCGCGUGUGUGCCUGUGUGUGACUCGCACACAUGGCAGGCUGGGGGCUGUUGGCUGGAGGUUUGAGGCUUGAGGCUUGAGGCUGGGGGCUGGAGGUUGGAGGCGCGAGGCUGGGGGCUUGGGGCUGCGGGUUGGCGGGUACAUCCUGCACGGCUCAGAGGCGGGUCAGCACGCAGGCCUUCUCUAUGCUUUCGCGUCACCAGUCACCGCCAAACCAGCUCACCCUCACCUGUCCACAAACAGCCACAGCUCCAUGAUGAUGGAGCGGCGGCACUCGUUCUUCCAUUGUGUUGGGGUGGCGGCACUCGGUCCUCCCCAUUCGUCUCUACCGUAUUCGUCUCUAUUCAUACAUGUGUCACAUCGGUUCGUCUCUACUCGUCCCCUCUAAGUACAUCACAUCUGGUCCACUGCCCGGCCGCCGCGCAGGGACCUGGCGGGCGCCACCGCGGGCGACGGGCGCAGCGGCGUGCUGCAGGACCGCGUGCUGUGGGCCGUCAACACCUUUGGCGAGGUGCUGGCGCAGGUCUUCAUCACGCCGCUGCCGCUGCUCAAGGUGGGCGGGUUGGUGGGGGCGGGGGUGGUGAGGGCGGGGGUGGUGAGGGUUUAAGCCACCAGUCGGGACAGGGCACAAGGGCGGAGAAAGGCAGCGGUUCUACGUCGCCACCACGCAAUCUUGACAUGCACGGAUAGCCGCCUCCUCCCGCGUCCCUCGCCCUCACCCUCCCUCACCCUCCCUCACCCUCCCUCACCAUCCCUCACCAUCGCUCACCACCCCUCACCCGCCCACACCUCUUACACAGGCCAUGGACCGGCUGGGUGCGCCCCACCUGCGGCAGCUGGGCGAGGCGGUGUCCGUCAUGCGGGCGGCCAUGCUGGACGUGAUCGCGGUGGGAGGGGGGGCAGCAGCAGUGGUGGCAGGAGGGAGGCGGAAGGAGGGAGGGCGAGGGAUGGGCGGAGGGGGAGGAAGGGAGGGAGGAGGGAACCAAUCAUCAGUGGAGGGAGGAGAGGGAGGGUCAGGGUCGUGCAGAUUACACCGCGGGGGCUUCCAGGGGCGUGCCAAGAUUGUGUAUCGUGCCGCGCUGCUUGUGGGUCACCCACCACCUGCCCCAUCUGCCAGCCUACCGACACGCCCUAUACCUAGCCCAGGCACAACGUCUCGUCAGUCGCACCCCCUGCGAUGGGUUGCGCCCACGACCUCACACGCUGUCGUUGUCGCUGCCGUGGUGCCAUGCUGUACUGCAGGAGCGGCGUGCCUCGCUGGCCGCGGGCGGGCGGGGCCGUGACGACCUGCUGCAGGCGCUGCUCACGGUGGGAGAGGGGGGAGGUGUGGGGGCGGCCGUGUGUGCGUGCGCGGCCGUGGGGUCGACCGUGCAUAUGCGCGUGUGCAUGUGCGUGUUGUGCGUGCGUGCGUGCGUGCGUGCGGAGCGGUUGUUUUUGCGGUUGUGUUGUCGGUUGCGGGUGCUGGGGUGGACGAGUGCUCCAAAGUUUCGCUGUUUUCCUGUGUGCUCUCCCAGCAAAGAUAUGCACGUGUGUUCCGAUUCCGCGCGGUUCCUCCCUCUCCCUCACGCACAGGACCGCACACGCAUACACAUUUACGCACGUUGACGCAUAUGUUCACAUGCACGCUGCCACAUACACGCACACACACACACACACACACACACACACACACACACACACACACACACACACACACACACACACACACGCACAGGCCACGGAGGAUGACGGCCGGGGCCUGAGCGAUGAGGAGCUGUGGGAGGACGUGCACGACAUCAUGGGGGCGGGGCACGAGACCACCGCCACCACCACCGCCGCGCUGCUGUACUGCAUCAGCGCCCACCCGCAUGUGCGCCAGCGGCUGGAGGAGGAGCUGGAUGCCGUGCUGGCGGGUGGGGUGUGGGCGGGGAGCGGGUGGGCGGGCCGGCAGGGGAGUGCACAAGGAGGGGGCGGGGGGGGGGGGUGCCUGAGAACGGUACGUGCGACGCGACGGACCCAGUGUCAUCCUGCCGCUUCCCACCCACCCCCCGGCUUCGUCAGCUCCGCUGCGCUGCUUAUCCUCCUGGCUCCCCCCCCAGCAACGCACCCACCCUGACUCCACUAUGUUCGUGUGUGCGUGUGUGUGUGUGUGUGUGUGUGUGUGUGUGUGUGUGUGUGUGUAUGGGCACGCAGACGGCGAGGCGCCCACCUACGAGUCGCUGGAGCGCAUGCCCUACCUGCAGGUGGGUGGGGCCGCGUGCCGGGGCGGGUGCGGAUGCGGCUACGGGUGCGCGGGGGUGGGCUGCCGGGGUCUGAUGCGGGGCAGAGGGGGACGGGGCAGACCGCUGCGGGCGCGCCUGCAGGUGCAGCUGACGGUUCGGGUGCGGGUGCGGGGUCGGUGAAGGUCUGCUGUGUGCUGUAAUACCAACUGCUGAGCGCACCCGUGCCGACCUGCGAGCCCGCAUGCCUGCGUGCGCCCUUGCGCUGUUGCCUGGGCCGCUGUUGUCUGUUCCCAAUCGCAUGGAGCGCGCAAUCUCUGCCUCUCUCUGCCAACGCCAACGCCAACGUACUUGCACACACGCCCCCCCCCCAUUCAUGUUCCGCACGAUGGUCCACCGUCUACCACUUCCUUAAGUAAUUUUGAAUGUAACCCCCCCGCCCACAGGCCUGUGCCAAGGAGGUGAUGCGCCUGUACCCGGCCAUCCCCGUGUUCCCGCGCGAGGCCGCCCGGCCCGACGUGCUGCCCACCGGCCACGGCGUGGCGGCGGGCGACGUCGUGUUCAUGAGCAGCUACGCGCUGGGGCGCAGCGAGGCGGUGUGGGGGCCGGACGUGCUGGAGUUUGACCCGGACAGGUGAGGUCAGGGGAGGAGAGGAAGUGUGGGGUGGGGAGGGGAGCACGGGAGGUGAGUUAGGAAGGCGUGCGUGCGUGGCCUUGGGUGGUGCAUGCGAUGCCCCGGUGGGGGUGGGGGGAUGCGCGAUGGACUGAACGCACCGGGCGCACUUGGCCGGCCGUCGGUCCCUCUCUUGCCUUGUUGACGCACAACACACACACACACACACACAUACACACACACACAUACACACACACACACACACACACACACACACACACGCACCCACGCACGCACGCACGCGCAGGUUCUCUCCCGAGCGCGAGGCGCGGCAGCACCGCUUCCAGUGGCUGCCCUUCGGCGCCGGGCCGCGCAUGUGCCUGGGCGCGUCGUUCGCACAGGUGGGUGGGCGCAAGGCAGGGUGCGGCGCGGCGCGGCCUGAGGGGCUGGGAAGGUAUGGGCUAGGUGGAUGGGGGUAAGCGGCACGGAGUACGAAUGAAUCCACGACUUGCUGCCUGCAUCCAACGCGCAGCACGCGCGGUAAGCCAACGGCCGCAUCUCCAAGCAACCCACAUUUUGCUCCCUCCCUCCCUCCCUCGCUCCCUCGCUCCCUCCCGGCUCGCAGAUGUCUGUGGCGCUCAUGGCGGCUACGCUGCUGCAGCGCUUCCGCUUCACGCCGCUGGCGCCCUGCUCCCCGCUCAUCCCGGUGGGCUACGACAUCACCAUGAACUUCGGACCCUCGGGCGGCCUGCGCAUGCGCGUGGCGCCCAGGCAGCGCGGGCAGCAGCAGUAGCUGAUGGCAGCAGCGGCAGUAGCAAGGAGCGGCGGUAGCCGCAGGAGCGGGCAGCGACAAUAGCAGGAGGCAGGCGUAGCCAGCAGGCAGCAGGCGGCCAGCCGCGGCGGCUGUAGCAGGACCGGCCGCGGCGGUGAAGCCGUGGCGGCUAGGGUAGGAGCGUUUGGUGGGCAUGGUGUGCGAGGCCAUCGGGCCACGGCUUGAAGGAAGCGGUGUGGGGCAAGGGCUAUACUGGGCCGAAAAGAAAUGGGGGACUGUUGCAACUGGAGCAAAUCCCUGCAGGGACAGCCCGCCCGUACAAGAGAGAAGAAACACGUGUGCUCAACUGCGUACGUACUUGUAUGUCAUGUGCUGUGCUUGUCGUAUGUUCGAUGAUGGUUGAUAUGGGGGCGCUGAGCUGCUGUUUAAACCACAAUGGUCACACGCACACAACACGGAUGUCAUGCCUCAUAAACAACACCGGUCUAGCUGUACGGUAGUAGUGUCAGCAUGAGGUCAAGUGCCAUCCGUGUUUGUCGCUUGUUCCUGUCUUAUGUUAUGUGGAAAAUGUACAAUGACGCAGGGAAUCACUUUUCCUCGCGUGUGCCUUGGCGCACAUCAGAUGCAGCGCAUUGUGGAGGAUGGAGAGGAAGAAAUACUGUACGAGCACCACGCGUGAAGCCUGAACUGUGUUGGGGUUUGGACUUAGUCAGCGGUUGUGAGGGCGGUCAUUGCGACAUAGUUGUAGUUGGGAUUUGGAUUGCGUUUGUGCGUUUGGAUUGGGUUGAUUGGAAGGCUCCACGCGAGUUGGCUUGGGCCGGUGAUGCUGGUGAUCAGGUGAUGGGUUUGGAAGCGUGAGGUCGGGAGCCGUACCCACGACAGUCAGCGGUGUUUGGACACAACCUACUGUGCUAACCCCCGCGCACUACAUUUUUGCCGGAUGCGUGAUAUAUUGUGAUCCCCAAAGCAAAAUUGAAGUGGGGACAUCCGGCGCGCUGGAGGCGUUGUGGUCGUAUGGUGAAUUGCGGGCGGCGGGUUCAGGUUGUCGCCCGAGGCUUGACGAUGAAACAAGAUAAGUGCAUAAUGGUGAACCCUGGUAACAUUGCAGGGUAUACGAGACGUGGCGAGGCAGAAUGAGCAGCACUCAGGCUGGCAAUAAUAGGCGCACGACCGCAUGUGACCACACUCGCAGGCAUGCUGGAGAAUGCCCGUCCGUAUUGGCAGAACACACCGAGCCUGUAUUUUGUAGGCGGCGUGGUGGUAACUUGGAUUGGAUGCAGUGGGGCAGAACUGGUUUGUACAGAGCUAAUGGCCGUACGGACAUGAAUCGCAGCAAGAAAAGUGGCUCUCCCGCUCAAGGAGAUGGGCAGGGAUCGUGAGCAAUUACGGACGUGCGGAUAGAUAGUGUGGACGUGCAGUUCGUUUGGUGGUGGACAGGCGCUGUCCCUAGUGAGUGAGUUCGUGAUUCCGUGUUGCCUUGCCUUGCAAGAGCAGCAGCAGCCGGCGGAGGAGGCGGGCAGGCAUAAGAAUCAGGGCUCCUAUCCAAGUGCCAGACCCCAUGCCCCAAAAUCCCGGCCGGGACCCCCCCUGAGAGGAUGACCGACCCCCCCCCCCCCCACAGACAAAACCUUGUUGUUUAGUGGUUAAAUCCCUCAAUGUAAUACCAAAGUGGUGCCACCAUUGACUCUUGAGCGCUAUCACGCUGUGCCAUUGGCGGUCCUGUCCUGAGACUUCAGCCAUACCCAGCGGGACUUCACCAACCUGCCUUGACACUGUCCCAUCGCACGCCCACGCGCCAGCCCCAAAUCCACCUCCGCCGCCCACCGCGGGCGCCCCCCGCCUGCUCCCCAUCCGCAUCGAGGUCUCGACGCUCACGGCCGAUACUAUAUGUGGACGCCCGGCGUCCUCCGCACGGUGCUGCGCGCCCUGCUUGCGCAUGCCUACACCUCCUACCGCGGCCAGCCCUACCUGCAAAUUCGCGGCGUCGCCAUGGGCGCCAACUUCGCUUCGUACGUUGCCAACCUGGUCCUUGCCUAUGAUGAGUUGCGCUGGCAGCGCGCACUCUACACCCGCGUCUUCAUGCCCUCCGCCAGCUCCUUGUGCGCGGAAGCUUCCCUCGCCCUUGAUGUGCUACUGGCGUUCCAAGAUACCCAGCGGUACACCGACGACCUCCUCGGCUGCUGCAACCCCUUCCUUCCCCACCUGCUGCUGCAAUCCCAAUCGCUUGCCGGCAUCCCUGGCAUCUACUCCACCGACCUCACCUUGGCGGCCUCCGGCGCCACACCCGCCGCCGGCGUCGCCACGCCUUACCUCAACUUCGCCAUCACCCCCCACAGCAGCAACAUCUACGGGCACGUCGUGUACGACCUACAGCCGUACGACAAACGCGACAGCCCCAAGUUUGCGCAGCUCGGCAUCUCCCGCUUCACCCCGUUCUACUCCUGCAUCCCCCGGCACGUGCGCUUCAACGUUGUCAUCGGCGCCCUCGUCACCCUUGCGCGGCUCUGCACCACCCUCGGCACCUUCAUCACGUCAGCACGGCGCACGCUGCGGCGGCUGCAUCUGCGCGCCUACCCGCGCCCCUUCCUCCGCAAGGCCCUCAUGCGCUUCUAUGGUCAGCAUCGCCAACUGCUGCCGGGUACCAUGACCUCACGCGGGCUCCUCAGCCUCCUGCCGCCCCCGGAUCUGCCCCCUCCUCCGCCGGCGGCCCCGCCGCCGCCUCCCCCUCCGGCCCCCGCGCCACCAGUCGCCGCCGCCGUCGUCCUGCCGGCCCUGCCCGCACCACCGCUUUCCUUCCCUCCUGCUGGCCACGCGGCCUGGUACCACGGCGACAACAACAUCGGCUCAGGCGACGACAUGUCCAUCUCCUCUGACAGCGGCAGCGAUAUGUCCAUCUGUUAGCAGCAGCCCCAGAUGUGACGCAGCAGCGUCAGCCUCAGCCAGCACGACAGCCGUGGAGCGGCGACCUGGGCGACGGUAGCGGCGGUACCGAGCGGUGCGGUGGCUUGUAGUAGGUGUUUGGGGGGUGGGGCGCCGGUCCCGGCUGCCCUGAACCGCUCUGCGGUGCGGGGACGGCCGUGCCGGUGUUCCCGUGCUGGGCUUCUGGUUUCCAGUUUUACGGUAGGGACACAGGUCGGUGCUAAGUUUGGGGCUUGGCGCGCGUGUGGGCUUUUUCCUUGUCGGUUCGGCGCGGGUCGGGUUCUUGGGUUUGCGUUAGGGGCGCUGGUUUUCGGGAGUGUGCUGUCCCGCCGGCCGUGUGUGGGGCGUGCGGUGCGUGAUCGCCGGCUUCUCGGCCGUCUUGUGGGUUGUGUGUGCGCGUGUGAGUGCCUGUUUGCGGCGGGCGCGUGUUGGCUGCGUAGGCGGGCUCCUUGGCGGGCUUUUCGUCCUGGCUGUGUUUUGCCCUGUGUGUGUGCGCGUGUCCCCUCUCCGCGCUCCCGUGCCGCAGGGCUGCUGGUUUUAAGACGCCGCCUCCUGUCUUGCCACCGGGGAGCUCUUCGUGAGCCCGGGCCCCAUCCAGCCACGUACCCAAGUACCCACCUACGUACCAGCCCCAGCGCUGCCAGCCUCUGCAGCCACCCAGCGUCCCAUGCCAGCUGUCCCGUGCCUCUCCCCAGCUGUCCCGUGCCUCUCCCCAGCUGUCCCACCCCAGCAGUCCCACAUCCGCUGUCCCCUCCCAGCUGUCCCUCCCAGCUGUCCCUUCCAGUAGUCCCUUCCAGUUGUCCCUUCCAGCUGUCCCACACCAACUGUCCCACCCCAGCUGUCCCUUCGGCUCCCUUCUCAAACGCAGCUUCAGCAAAAUCUACAGCCUGCCCGACUCCCGGCGUGUGCGGCCUUCCGCCCGCCUUCCAAAACGCAACAGCCCCCGCCUCUCCUCGCCAGCCGCUCACAGCCGAAACUCUGCUUCUUUCUUUAUCAGCCACAAACAUCAGCCACAAACAAUGCCUCGGAAACAACGCCUCGGAAACUUCCUCCCAACUAGUGCGCGGCCACAGCUCCCCUACCGUCGCAGCACCUAUCCUCACCAUCAGCAACGCUUCCUCACCUCCGGUUGUGUUGUUGGCGUGUUGCACCGCAUUCGGCCUGCCCGCCACAAUUGUCGUACACAUUCGGGCCCCUCUUCUGCUUUGCUUCGCCUUGUUCUUGCCCCUGUUUGUCACACUGUCGCCCGGCCAUUGUUUUGCUGCACGCCGUUGCAUUACGCUAGUGCUCGUCUACACAGCUCAUCCGUGGACGCCGGUCGACUGCCUGCAGGUGCGCAUCGGCUAUACUAUCCGCGCGGUGUGGCGUCGCAUUGAGUCUGUGUGGUGCUAUCGCCUUGGCCGGGCGCCCGGAGCGUGAGGAAUGCGCGUCAGCAAAACAUCGACACAACCUGCCAGCUACCGUCGGUACAGUAACAGCGCGCGAACGACGCACCAAUGCCUUGUCCCUUCUUGCUACGCAUUUAUGUGGGCACGGGUGGGAGCCACACACAUCGGGACUACGCUUUCCUGCCCCUUGCCAUGUUCCAUCACGAUCGCACGCCCACGCGGGAUCCUAUCCAAGGAAAUCCCCUCGACCCAGCCCACACCGCGCACAUCUCUCUUCAGGGCUCCUAUCUUAAUGUCUCCAGACAUUAAUUGGCCAUUUUGGCCGUUUCCUAGACAUUCCUCCCGGGGACUAAUGUCUGAGGCAAGACAUUGUUGGCCCGGUUUUGGGGCGGGUUUUGUCCUAAUUCCUUUGGAGAAGCCCCCCAACCGCCAUGUGCCCAGACAAAAGACGGCGGCCACCCGGCCGUUUUUGUCUGAGCCUAGACAUUGCUCUGAAAACAAGAUGCGACCCCUGAUAAGAAUUGAGGAACCGAGGUUACAGACCGCUUUGGUCCCUGCACGUCCACGACCAUUGCAGCAUCGAAUGAUCAGAGCAUCGGACCAUCAGACGCCGUCAGCUCCUCCUGAGUCGUGCUGCCCAGAUGCGUGGAAAGUGGAACCUCUUACCCGGCCGCGCGGCCAAGCGCCGAAGCGCGCGGCUCCAGAGCCACAGACAAGGCACAUUUAACAAAGUCAGCCCCUUAGGCAACGUUCACCAUGGUGGCACCAUCACACGAACCCGCCCGUUAACCGCCCUCACACCCCACCUACUCCUACAUGCCCGCGGCCUUUAUCUCUUCUCCUGGUUAAAUUGGGGCCGUAAUUCUAAAAAUACAUUGCGGUAGAGUUGUUUAAAGUUUGGCAGCUAGGUUUGCCGCUGCCGGCUGCACUCUUAUGGCCAUAGCAAGCGCACCGAUGCAGUGCCGCCAUGCCGCAAACACCACUGAACAUCAGCAACCUGAAAUUUUUUUACAAGGCAACUGAAAGCUCCAGAUAAUAUAGCUCCUUCAAAGUCCGCCCUACCUUGUCGUCAAAAGAGCGUGCAUUGAAGGGGUCCUAACGUCCGCCCUCCACCCAAACGUCCGCCCUCCGCACACGGCGGUUGGCGGUUGUGGAGGGUUCGCUUGUAAACGUUUGCGGUAUCUCAAUGCACCUGGGUGAGCUGCAUUAAUACUCGACGGAAAUAAAUGUCAGGUUCACUCAGCACGUGACUUCCGGUCAGGCAGUGCCUUUCUUGCGUCACAAUCCCCUUGCAAUUUAUUCCGCCCUGCAUUUAACAAUGCUACGUGCCUAGAAAUGCACGCCCAAAUUGUCCGUAUGCGAAUCAGCUCCUUGGCUGUAAGCAAGCACCACGAACUGCUCUGGCGGAGCGCAUGCAAACCCACCGCGGUACUAAGCUUUUCCUUGAACAGCUUCAUUCUUCUGCCGCUCAGGCCACACACUGGCCGAAACGAAGUUGCAGAGCUGACAUAAUCACUUGCGCCUUGCAGACCCAGCACGGAUAGGCAUCCAUAAGUGCACCCGAGUGCAAUGCACCGCCCGUGCCGCGCAUCCACAUUGGCAUCACUCACUCAUUUCACAGUACGGUACCUUAGUCAUCGGUUGUAGCCGCUUAAAACAGCUGCAUUGAUCACUGCUAAUAUGAAUGGGUCAAAACGCUCUCGCAGCGUACGGUAGGGUUGUUUCCUUGAACGUAAAAAGUUGGCACAAUGCAGUUGUCCCGCAACCAAUAAUAUAAUAAGCAGUACACACUCCAUAUCGGAAUAGAGCAUGCAUGGAUCUGCAUGGCCCUAUACUUUACUUGACAUGGCUAAGCCCCGCCCGGGCAAGGGUCACGGACCACUGAGACUGAGCACACGCAAGUGGUCCCCAAGCGGUGCAACUUAUUUUGCGGACCGGGCCUCUUCCCGUCAGGCCACAUUGUCGGCGCUGGCCCGCUUCCCAGAUUUGAAGUUGGUGCUUGCCUGCCUGUGACCGUGGAGGUGGGCAGCAGCAGUGAAAGCGUCACAUAGUUGCUGGGGGACCGCAGCCUCUGGAUUGCGCGGAGGCCCAUGCAUAAGACCAUGUGCGGCACGCACUCAGGGCGCCUACACAAGGCAAGCUGCAAACACAAAGACACACACCUGAGACAUUGAUCCUGCCCAAACUUACUUGAUAAUGGCCUUCCACUUGUUGGUGGCGUCUGCGCCCUGGUCGCCCUGGCCAGCAGGACCACCGCCAUUGUUUCCACCAGCCCCAAAGAGGCCGCCGCCGCCCCCACCACCGCCAGGCCCUGCUCCGGACGGGGCGCCUGAGCCCGCGCCGCCCGCAUUGCCGGCCGCCGGCGCGCCCGCGCCCAGCGCCCGGCCCACCAGCUUCUCGACGUCCAGCUCCAAUGGCAGCUGACUCAUCAGCUCCGCGAUGCGCCGCCGCUGUGGGUGUGGAUGCAUUUGAGGGGGCGGCGGCGGGCGGGCGGGUGAGGUGUGGGCGCAUGUCAGCGGAGGACGCGCGUGGAUAUGCAUACCGUCCAUUGACACUGUGCGGUUGGUGCAUCAUUCGGCGCGCCUCAGCCUCUACCCCUCAAAGCAACAUGCAACGUACCUCCUUCGACACGCGCUUGAGGAGAGGGUUCAGCAAGAUGAACAGAAAGCCCGCGAAGAUGACCCACAGCAUCAGGAACAGGAUGAUGUGAAGGAGCAGGAUUCCUGGUUUGAGGAAGUGCAGAGGCAAGCGGCGGGCUGGUGUUAGGAAGCAGUCAUCCGGGUUCAGGACGCAACGACACGAACAGCAGUGGGACACACAACGCCUACUGCAAUCAAUGGGCAACACAACACUCACUGUCGAACAGCGCGACAAUGAUGUUGUAGUGCUCCUCUUUGAUCUCCAGGAUGGCGCCAAUCAUGUCCUGCAGGCGUGUGCGUGAACACAUCAGCCAGAAGUCAAGCACAGCAGCCAUGUGUUCACAUGUGUGCGUGUGCGUGUGUGUGUGUGUGCGCGCGCGUGUGCGUGUGUGUGUGUGUGUGUGUGUGUGUGUGUGUGUGUGUGUGUGUGUGACGGAGAGAUAUUGUGCGUGUGUGUGUGUGAAAGAGAGAGUGUCCUUGUGUGUGCACAGCUCACCGGCAGCACUCAAAAGAGGGUGGCUGGGCAACCCCACAUGCCGCUGCCCUCCCAUGUUGUCGUGUGCGCACAACAUGCCAACGUACCCAUUCACACGCCCGCCUGCCCCUGCCCCGCCCCCCCCCCACUCUCACACACAUCAGGUUUCCUUCCCUGCCCUAACCCAUCGCAUGCACAUGCCGGACCUUUCCCCUUGUGCGUUUUCAACACACACAUGCGCGCGCCGUACCUUGUAGCCCACGUUGUAGAUGUAGUCGAAGUUGGGGCUGGCCAGGCCCUGGGGCAGGCCCGUGGAGUUGAAGGCCAUGGACUCCAGGCUCCGCAGGAACUGCUGCAUCUGCAGUGCAAUGCAGAUGAGUGGCAACAAGGUAGGGCGUUUGGUGUGUAUGAGCUUGAAUAUGGGGGUGUGUGGGUAUCGGUGUCGUGCUGGUCUGCGGCGUGCAGGCCAUCCAGCAGUAGGAACCGGCGGCGAUGGCCCGGUGCGUGCUUGGGUCUUGCAUGUGUGCAGACGUGCGUGCGUGCCGCAUGAGCAGGUGGCGUUGCACAGCGGCAAGGAAGGCAGCAUGGGCCAGCCACGUCAGACUGCCGCUGGGGGCCGAUGACACCCUCAACCGGCUCGCUGCUGACGUAGCUCACCAUGGUGUCAAAGCCGGUGUGGGAGAUCUCAUAGUAGCGGUACUCGGGGCCGGGGCAGGGCAGGUAUUCCUGUGCGCGCCAGAAGCGGGAGCAUGGCGGCGAGGGGAGGACAUGCAGCCAGUCAGGGGCGGGCGUACUCGCACGGGCCCUCAGGCCUGCAGCUGUCCGCGUGCCAGCCGUACGCGUGUCAGCUGUGCAUCACCGCCCGCCAAAUGCAUGCUUGCGUGCAUCGCUGUGCGUACGUGCCAGUGCAGCAAACCCAUACUGUCCUAGUGGUGCAGCAAGGAGCAAGCUGGCUCACCGGGAAUUGGCGGUGGCAGGUGCCGCCACCGUAAAACAGGUCUGCCAGCCUGGGUGACUUGAAAGACAGGCCCUUGGUCACAAGUGGGUAGCGCUCCGUGGCGUUGCCUGCGGCGCCAAUGCCGUUGUGCGAGUGGUUUAGUGCGUUCAUUGGGCGCUUGAGGACUGCAGGAACGCAGGGCUCUCGGAGGCACGCAGCAGCCAGCGGUUCGGCCAUUCAAGGUCAUUCCCCAACCCCCUAGGCCCUUGAGUUCCUGGGUACGGUGCAAAGAACCGCCAUGGACCGUACCUGCAGUGCGGUACGCCUGGUCUCCGAGUUGCAGCGUGUAGAACGCGUCGCGCACCAGCUUGACGCCUGCCUGCAGGGCCAGCUGCUUGGCGGGCACCAGGGCCGGGUCCUCCACAACCGCCAGCUCCUGCGAUCGCGUGAAGUGGGACGCUCAAGGAAGUCAGAAAGUGGUGGACCAAUCCCGAGGCAAGGAGACCAGGAGAAGAGGAAAAGGCCGCGGACAUAUGUAAAUAAAAGUAUGGCGGCUGGUGUUUCCACGGACAUGAAUUCAGCUUGGUACAGCAGGUGAAGAAUUAUCAAGAAUAAUUAUGUAUAUAUGCGCCCAGCUGGCAAGCCUGGAGCGCGACACCCGCACCUGGCUCAGGAACACGUUGCGUGACGUGCGCGCGUUCAUGAAGUUGACCACAGAGUGCACGGCCACAGUGUCCACGACGUCCUGUUGGUGCGGCAGGUUUGCACGAAUCAGCCGUCGUACAUUUAGAUGCGGGCGCGACAAUCCAUGGAACACGGGUAGACAUCCAGCACGGGAGGGGGACUACGUGAACAGUCAACUCACCCGCAUCUCAAUCACCGCCGACGCGUAGAAGGCAAUGACUAACACGCUCCACAUCACGAAGGGCGUCAGCAUGAUGGCGGUGUCGUGCGAGUCGUACUUGAGUGUGCGCUUGGAGCCCGCCUGCUGGCCUGCCGCCGCCAAGGCCUGCUGGCUGCUGGCCGUCCAGCCACGCGGGUUCAGGAUGCUGCCCACACGUGUGCUGGGCAGCGGAGACACGCUGCCAAGGCUCCUGCUCCUGCGACGGUUCAAGGGGAGCAGUAGGACGGAGGUCGUGGGCACAUAAGAAGGGCGACAGCCAGCACUACGUACUGGACCUGUUGUGGCCAUAAGCAUUCCACACUUCGAGCCCCAUGGUAACGCAGCUGCUGGUCCCACCCAGUAGCGAGGCGCCCGGUCAGCCCUUUAGCCCUCCGCAACUCACCGGAACAUCAGCCGCCGCACCCAGCCCCAGCAGCCGCCAGCCGCAGCCCGGCUCCUGCCGCCCGAGCUGAAGGAGCCCGUGUAGGUGCGCUGGUGCGCCAUCACGCCCGACGCGCCGUCGUCGUCGUCGCCCGGCAGCAGCACGUCGCUGCCGCGCACCCCACCACCCCCACCACCAGGCACGCGAGCGCCCUCACGCGGGGAUUCCCACGGCGCAGCAGGCUUCUUGCGGGACCCGCCCUUUUUUCCGCCCGGGGUGUCCGCGCUGGGCGUGACCGCGGCAGCGGAGAAGCCGAGCGUGCGCUUCUGUUUGGCAGCCGGCUUGGCGCCGGCGUCCUCGUUCUCGCCGUCACUGCCGUCAUUGUUGGCCUGCGCGGCGGCGGCCUUGUCGGCCUCCUCAGCGUCCUCAUCCUCGUCGUCGUCCUCCUGUGGGUUGACGGGGGCAAACACACACAUUUGAGCCUGAGGAGAACCGGAUGUCCAAGGCAAAUCGAUAGCAUGGAAAAUGCUCCCAGCGGACUGGCCACGCAGCACCAGACACGGAACACCAACGCACUACAUCUAUGAAAUGACUCACGUCGACGAGGAGCGUCGUGUUUUGAGAGGCCAGGGCGCGCGUGAGGCCCUGUGUUGGACAAGCGCAAGCACGUUGUUCAGCAUGCGUUCGCGUUGACUUCUUGUUCGGACUGAUCGUAAGCACUAUGGAGUGCCAAAGAUACUCACGCGCGAAUUCCUUGCCGGCCACCCCAUCCCCCUCAACCUGCCGACGUAUACAUGCCACACACGCACCACGGGUAUGACCAGGAAUGUGCCGUACAGCUUGUACCGCUGCGCCGCCACCGCCCGCAGCAGGUAGGCCAGGUAGCAGGCGGCGGCGCAGCUGAUGGCGGCGCCCUCCACGGCCAGGAACACCAGCUGCAGGGUGUUCACCUGAAAGAGCGAGGGGUAGCGGGAUCGAUCCAUGCCGGGGGCGGUGGUGAGCUGCCUGGUGGUUGUGACCAGGGAGCCCGCCGUUUGCCCAUCCAGCAUCCGAGCCUCUCCUAAUGGUGGUGCUGGUGGGGCUGGUGCUGCUGCUCUUGCUGCUGGGGACCACCGCUGGGGAACCCUCCCUGUCCCGCACCCACGCACCCGCUUGGCGCUGUCCACUGCGGCGUACAGCAGCGCAUCCAGGAUCUGCAGCAGCGAGGCCGCAGGCGAUUAGGAGGGCCCAGGCAUGACCAGUUGGAAGCAAGGCAGUGGUGGUGAAACAGCGCAGUUCGGGAGGUCAGGCCUAGGGACGGCGGUGCGGCGGGCAAGCAUGCGGCAGGGAAUACAGCGGGCGGACCCAUCGCGUACGUACCCGCCGUGAGGCUCGGAAGAAGUCGGGGCCUGGGCACGAACAGAAAGAGAAAAUGUUAGGCGGGCAAGCGAGUUCUGCACAUCGCGCGCAUACCGGUACCAUAAAGUAGGGGCGCGCAUACCGGUACCAUAAAGUAGUGGUACGCAUACCGGUACCAUAAAGUAAAUUUUCCGCUCACCUGACUUGAUGAGAAACUGGCCCGGGUCCUGAUCGACAAAGGAAACACCGUCUGCCAGCCAUUGGGCGCCGCUCUGCUGCACCAGCUGCGAACCAACACAUGAGCCGGCACACCGCAGUAUAGCAUCAGGUCAGGCGGCAGGGUGAGUAGGCACAAGGUAGCCGCUGCACCGAGCUCUGGGUGCAUUUCCAUGCGCGCAGCUGCAGCAUCCCAAUCUUACCUUGGUCAUUGAGUAGAUGCGCGUUCCAAAAUCCUGGGUCAGAAGGCGGCAGGGCGCACAUCGUCAUGGGCAUGGAGAGCAUUUGCAGAAGCAGUCGAGCCUCCGCACACAAGCACGUGCAAAACCCCCACCACACUCACCCAGAUCGUGACGUUUAUGAAGGCGUCGCUCCCGUUUUGCUCCCGUCCAUUCCAGACCUGCAUGCGCCCAUGCACACAUGAAGCAUACGUGGAAGGCCGGGGUGUCUGUAACCAAGUUGAGGUCCGACAUGCUGCCACACUCCGUUCCCACUAGUAGGGCGGUGGAUCCCUUGCACCUCUUGCGUACCGAGAUGUUUGUGAAGUAAAACAAGGUCAUGACACUGCUGUCGCGGGCGUGGUGGUUAUCCAAAAUGUCGUUCAGACGAUCCUGUGAUGAGGGUGGGGGUGCCGGCGAGCGUACGUACGUCUGAGCGGCGUGCCAAGUGGGCGUACAUGUUUUGCCCCGGCGGGUCGGGACACACAGCGAGCAGUGUUUGACGAGAUACAGCACAUUGUGUACAGUAUUAUACAAGCUAGUGAUGCUCGUCUAGAUUCGCGUGACCGAAACAGCGCUUAUCUGGCGGACCCCAACCUGUAUCAGCACGAUUCUCAAAUCCGCCCGCGUUUCCUGACUAUAAAUGCAUACAAAUGGCCACUGCAACCCCAGUAACAACUCCAUCGCGCCCUGGGCCGUCUGAAACCGACGUGACCAGCUGUCCUCACCUUCAUCUUUUCCGCGUUGACAGCAAUGCGAUCCAAAAACAUCUGCAAAAGUCACAGCGACAAGUGGUUAUAUUCCCUGCAUUGCUGCAUGCCAGGCCAAGGAAGUUCAGCUGUGUGGGUGCAACGCUGGGGCUGACAAACUCCGCUAAAACCGUUCCCCACCGACCGUGGAGUCGUCGGCGGUGUACAGAGUUGGCAGGGUCUUGUUCUUGGUGAUGACGUCCAUGGAGCGCACAUCUGCAAGGAUCUGGUGCAAGGAGAGCUGCACGCAAUGCAUGCAUGACAGACAUCCGCUUAGUCAUGCAACCGCAGUACUGAGGAAGCGGCGCCCACUGGGGAUGGCCCCAGCACAGUCGCAUGCAAACACACAUGCAAGCCAUCUAUCGCCCCAUCCGUCCAGAAAAUGAGCAGAUGCCAGCGCUCCCACCUGCAGUUCGACGCUGCGGCCCAGCUGCAGCAUGCUGGCGCGCUGCUGCCCAAUGGCGACCAGCGUCGUCGCAAAGCACACCACGUGCACGGCCGCCAGGAUGCCGACUGUAAUGAGCGCGUGCAGCUUGAAGCGCUUUUGCACCUGCAGUAAUACAACCAAAUUGAGCAAGGCACACGAGUGCAUGUGAGCAACAAGGCGUGUCUGCUAGCAAGUCAUCGGCCUCAUGUUCACCACACAACAGGACCCGUGAAGGCAGCCCGCCUACCGCCACCCCGCCCCGCACCUGCUGCGCCUGUCCCGAGUCCAUCAGUUUGACCAGCUUGCGGAACCUCUUGCCGCGCUUGUAUUCCGCGCCGCCACUGGAAGAUUGGGCCGACAUGGCGCUCUGCCCGCCCUCGCUUCCCGCGUCGUCAUCCGCGUACGGCAAGUCUGGCGGGCCAGAGGCCUUCAGGCCUGCCAGGGUGCGGGCAGUUGCCAUGGUUGCCAUCGUCGCCACGGUUCGCUCGGUCCUCUCCGAAGCAGCGUAGGCAAGUCCCGUCAUGUCGCUGUGGGGCGCGUGCAGGCCGCUGGCGGCGCCAUCGCUGGGCGCCUUGACAGAGCCCUCGUCAUCGCUCUGGUUGGGGGGUAGCGGUCCAUGGGUAACAGAGUCUUUCAAUCACAAGGGGGUGCGAGAAGAGCAGCAUAACGGAAACAUUUCAGCACAUGCCGCUUUCAGGACAUGCAGCGGCAGCUACACCGAGCAAUGUAUGGGCCCAGAGCCUCAGUGUGACACAGUAAGCAGCCGCACGCGACUCGAGGAUGAAAAUAUGUGAUAGAUUGUUUGAUCUCGUUGUGCUGUCUUGCGCUGUCUUACCUUUGCGUUGGCGCCGCCCUCCACCGCCACCGAGUUCUGGUAGAAGGCACCUUUGCUGGCCACCCAGCUCAGGAUGCGGUCUCCGCCCUUCACCUUGCCGCCGCCCUCGCUGUCCGCCUUGUCAUCAUCAUCUCCGUCAACGGACUGCGCUUCCAUGCCUGGAUAUAUUGUAGCAUGCCGUGCAUAGGGUUAAAAACAGUGAGGUGGGAGUUAGCUACCAUCCCGUGGCACAAUCCAAAGGCAUCUGAUCUGAAAGCAUCACACAUACGCACCGACGCACUCUCCCCAACCUACCCUUCUCGGCGUCCGGACCCUUGCCCUCACCCCUGGCAAGAGGCACGGCGUGUGGCAGGUCCGCAGCCGAGCCGCCAUCCCCCGUGCUUGAUCGCCUGGUCGCCCCCGGCCGGGUGCGGGGCACAGGCAGACCCGAGCCGUCGCCCGAGCCGAGCGCCGCCUUCUGGCUGCCCGCCUGGUCGCCGCCCACCGACUUAACGAGGUCUGCCAGCUUGUUGCGGCCGGUGGCAGCAGCCGUCACGGAGGGCACAGGCAGCCCGCCAUCCCCCACGCCGCCCAGCAGCAUGGCAGGCAUGGGCGGCGGUGCAAGCGGUGCCUCUGCUGCGCCACCCGCGGGAUCAACAGCCGCCUCCACGCCACUGCCGCGGGGCUUCUGCUGCGCUGUGGAGUCGUUGCGUCGGAGGCUGCCGCCAGUAGGUGGCGUGUGGACCUGGCCCACAGAGGAAGACUCCUUGCUGUUUCGCUUCUUCCCAAUCUCAUCCGGGCUUCCAGCUGCCUCCACCUUAUCCAUCAGGUCAUCGAGCGAGGGCUGCCGCUUAAUGCUCGCAGCGCCCCGAGGCUGAAUAGCCGCGACCGCGGCCGCCGGCUCCUGCAAGCCCGCCGCAGGCUGCAGUGGGCCGCCAAGCGAAGGCGGCGGGGGCGCCGCAGCGGCUGGGUAGGCUGCAGCGGCCGGCGCCAUGGGUGCGGUGUGCAGGCGCAGGAUGGCAAUGACCGGCUCGUUGGGCCCGGGCUUGCCCACCACUUGCACGUCCAGCACCAGGGGCUUGCCGUCAGUGUGGGUAGCACGCAGCUUGUGCACCGGGCCCACCUUGACCGCCACAUCCUUCUGCUUGGUCUUGAGGUUACUCUUCUUGGCGCCGUGCAGACUCAGCAGCUCAGCCGCCGAGGUGCGGCCCGGCGGCAUGGUGACCAGGCUGUCGAGCGCCUCGCCAAUCAGGGCGUCGUGGUGCAGCCCAAACAGCAGGCCCGCGGGCCGCGUGUGCUCCUCCAGCACCGACGUGAUGCGGCCCGUCGCGUCCAGCUGCAGCACACCGCUCACGGCGUGCACGGGCCACAGGUCCACAUACACGUGGUUGCCCUGGCCAGCAGCCGCCUCCUCGUCAGACGGCGGCUCCACGUGAACCUGUCAUAUGGGCCGAAAGUUUACAUUAGAAAUGCUGGAUUAUAGACCAGAAACCGUGUGGUGUGGUCCCAAGCACAAAGACAGCGCACGGUGCCUAAAGAACAAUGUUACAUGUUACAAGAAUCGGGUUUCAUGAGCAUAAUCCCACCCGCGCCACCCAAAUGCCCCCCGCCCACUCAAUCCACCUGCAUCACGGCUGGCUUUGCGCGGGCAUUCGUGGACUGCUGGCCGCCCAUGUUGCGAGGCAGCGGGUUCGACACGUCCACACGCCAACUGGCGCCAGGGCUGGCAAGAGCCCUGCACACGAACACGAGUACAGCGCAUGUCAGGACCCGGACAGCCAUUACAGUACCUGUCUUCGUAUGAAGUUAAUCUUGAACAUUCCUUACAGCGAUCCCAACUACUUGCCUGGUGAUAAGCCCGCCAAGCAUGCGUGGGCCGACGGGUGUGGUUGCACGUGCAUUCACGUCCAUUGCGUCGGUCGCCAGCGGCUCGGACACAACCUCCCACAAGCCGCGACCGACCAGCUGCACACGUACAAUCCGGGAUGAUGGGAACACGAGGUAAAUAAAAUGUCAUGUCGAGCCGGCGAGCCCCAACGAUGCCAUUGAACCUGACAACAAACGCUGCGCCCCAAGCGCUGUCCCCUUGUUCGCUUACCCGGCUGGGCUCCAGACUGAGCACCUGCAGGGCGAGGCCCUGGCUGGUGGCGGACACAAGGCCGUCAUCCGACACCGUCAGGCGCACGCGGCGCUCAGAAAGGGCGGUGUCCAGCGAGGACCUGUGGUUGCGGGAUAGGGCAGGCAGUGGGAGCACGUGAGGACAGACUGGGGCCUUAUCCAUGUGCUCCAUUAGCGAACGAUGGCAAACGCAGCCUGUGUCUAUCUGUCUAUCCCUGGACGCCCCUCACCUCUGUAGGCCGAUGACGUGGGUGGACUCGCCGUUCAGGUCGCCACUGGUGAUGGAGACUUGCAUGUACAGCGGGCGCCCGGUCAUGGUGCGGAGCUCCAGGGUGGGUUGCGGCGCGGCCUUGCGGCACGACCACAGGGAGCGUGUGGGCGGCGAGGAGGAGGUGAUGUCCUUGAGGAAGCGCACGUGCAUGUCCUUCCACGGCGCCGGCAGGAAAUCGUACAGCGUGAAGCCAGUCAGCAGGUCGGCGCCAAACACCAUCCCCGUGCCGCUGUUUUGGGUAGUGGGUGCUAACGCUGAAGCGCCACCCAUCUGCCCCGGAAGACUCCCAGUCACGCCGCCGAAGCGCGGUCCUGAGCUGGUGGCCCCACCAACGGCCACGGAGUCCUUGAGCGCGCUGGCCACCCCCGUCGAGGCGUGCAGGAUGACGCCCUUGCGGUUCACCACCAGCAGCUGGGCCGGGUCGUCGGACGACAGCUGCAGCCGCAGCUCGUGGACCGAGAUGUCGGCAGAGACUGUGGGACGUGGGAGGAAAGGGGCCGCAUGCAAGUGAGAAGCGCGCAGCACCUGUCCUGUUUACCUGGACCUUCUCCAAUCCGAAUUGUCCUGUCUCCAAUCCCCACUGGAGGCCGCUGCAGUGACUGCAGACAACUCACUGUUCUCGAUAACCGUGACGGUGCAGGGGACCGGUUGGCUGUCGUACUUAUGGGCCAACAAGCAGUAUAGGCCCUUGAUGGGCUUUGCGCCCUCUUCAUCACCGUUGACCUUAACCAGCUUGAGCAGCCUGUGUGCGUGCACCAUAUGAAUGGAGGUCGGUCUUUGCCAAAGCAAAGCGCUCAGUUGGGUUUGCAAGGCGAGGAGGCUAGCAUUAGGUACAGACGCUUUGGCAAUCGGAAGAACCCUGCCGAGUGCUCGGCAUCAGUCUCACCUCUUGACUGUGUCGCUGGCGCUCUCCGUCACAGUAUUCGCGAUGGCCACUUCCUCGUCACCACCCUUACGACCAUCACCGGCCGCCAUGGAGUCCGUGGCCUGCACCAUCAUGAGUGCGGUCAGGUUGGAACCGUUGACCUCGGUGGCCCUCCAGCCGAAGUUGGCCACGAACUGGGGGUCCACCGCCGCCACGAUGCCGUUGGGGGACACCCACAUCCUGGCCAUGUUGGGCACAGGCGGGGUCGGCUCCAGCAGCGCGAUGAAGGUGGAGUCCUCGCCAACGCCUGCGUAUGCAUACGAGCGAGCAACGAGUGAGCUGGGAGCACGAGACAACGCCAGCAACUCACAAAUCCAAUCCCGACUACUCGCAUGCAUACUGGAGCAACGCCUCAAGCAAGCGGUGCAACGGAAAUGCAAUCACAUAGCCGUAGCACACCUGAAGCCUUGCGCAGGGAGAGGUUGACUGAGAAUGCCACGCGGUCGAAGUGCAUGGCCACCACAACCAGAUCUGGGCCGUCAUGGCUUGUGGCCUCUGCGGUCCUGCCGCUGUCAGACUGGCCCCCGUUCACCAGGGCAGUGACGCUGGUGCUCGCGACCAUGCGCGCCAGCUCCUCCGCCACGCGUCGCGCGCAAUGUGGCGCCAGCAGCAUCGCCAGGGGCUUGGCCUCGAGCGUGCCUGCGUGCAUAUAGCGGGGCCAUUGGUGUGGAGGCAGGUCGGCAUCAGGUUGGACGGAUCAGGGGCUGUUGGCUUUGCACUAAGCCUACAACUGCCCUAGAAACUUCUUGCAAGCAAGGAGCUAUCCAACUGACCGCGCUUGUGUCCGAACAGGAUGUGGCUCUGCUUGUUGGCCAUCUGGAUCUCGCCAGUGGCGUUGAUGACCAGCACAGCCGCAGCCAUCUCGUCCAUCCGGCCCAGGGGGGUGCCUGAAAACCACAUGAAGGGAACACGGCACGCACACGUGGGAGGCACCACGUGCAAACACGGUGUGAGAUGAAGUACGGAUGGCGACCGGAACAGCAGGACUAAGCCGCCAGCCAAACACCCCGCCAAGCCGCCAAGGACAACCCCACCACUUGACAUCCGCACGGCUCACCGUCUGGCAGCAGUGGGCCACGCGCGUCUCCGUUCUUGACCUCCUCCAGGCGAUCGGCCUCUGCGAAGUACUCAGCUGCGCCCCACGGGUCGUUUUUUAUCCUCUCCAGAAACUUGCCGUACAGCCGGAUGAGCUUGGGGCUGGUUCCGUAGCUCUCCAGCACAACGCGAUACGCGGCCUGGGCCUGAGAGACCGAGCUCUCAAUCUUGCCCAGGGCCUUGCUGAGGUGCGUAAAGGACACGCGUGACGCGUCCAGCGCUUUCCUGCAAGGCGGGAGGGGCAGCACCAACGCGAGACACGGUCAGCGGUCAAGAACCUAACGUGUGCUGCAUACCCUCGUCAUGUAACAUGCACCACGAAAGACACCAGAAGCUACAGCGUAGCCCCAUUGCCGUACUCAACCUGCAUCCUGCCCCGCACCACUACGACUCACCAGAAGUUGCACAUGGCCUGCAGCGCCUCGCGGUGGAGCCGCACCACCAUGCGCUGCUUGCGCUGGUACUCCACAUAGCUGCGGGGUCAUUGUGGCAAAGGGGGUGAGUGUACCAGGUAAGCGAAUGUAGCCACAGAGCUGUAGCCACGGAUCAGAUACAGGGGCACGAAGCGAUACGCACGUACACACCACCCACUUACCCAAGCAGGUCCAUGCUUACGCCGUCGUUGGCGUGACUGCCCGCCGCCUUUUGCUGCGAACGCGUGAGGUAGGGGACGGAAUGCGAUUAAGCAGCGCCAUCGAGCUUUCACGUACGGUCCAGGCACAAUUACCGUAUGCAUGAGAGCUCGAAUCCUUGAAAGCAUCUGCCCGCUUACCGUGGCCUGCUGCUGUCGAACAAACAUCAUAAACCGAACAAGAAGGCUGGGGCUGAGCUUGCGCGCGUCCUCGAUGCGUCGCGCGCCGCUCUGGCUGACCCCCAGCACAUCGAUCAUGAAGUUGGCAUGCAGCAGCACCAUGUAGGCGCUGCCGGGGAACAUGGCUAGGCCGGCCUGGGGGAAAGAAGGGAACGACAGACGGGCUUAGGGCAGGACGGGCGAUGGGAGGGGCGUGCGCAAUGCAAUGCGCAUCCUGAGUGACGCAGAGCAGGGCGUUAAAGGCACACGCACAUACACACCAGGCACAGCUUAAUUAGCCUCUCCUCACCUUAAUGAUGUUGUGCGCCUUCUGCACUGCUUCGGGUGCCAGUGUGUAGCGGUCGCGCCACACACGCGCACAGCGAGCCACGAUCUCCACGUCCCGGGGGUCAUCCAGGUUGUCACAAAUAUCUUGCAGCGGCUGGUCGGGCUUGGCGUUCCUGUGGAGGGUUUGCGGAAAGAAGGCGUGGUGACAGCAUGACUGGCUCUCAAAACCCGAAUGUCUUCCCACUGUGCCACAGCCCGACACAGCAAUACGUUGCUUCCCCCAGCCUACAAACUCACGCCAUGGCCUGCAGCGCGGUAGUGGUCAUCUUGCGGAUGAAGAACCAGGACAUGGCCGCCCCCACACCAAACGCCGGCGCCAGGCCCGCCAGCAUGGUGAUGGUCAUGGCACUGGACCAGCCGCUCAGCUCCGACUGCUUGACGCCCGGAGCAAACACCAGUAGCAUCAACGUGAUGCAGCACCACACAAUUGAGGUCGACACGCCCGACUUGAGGUAGUUCACCCAUGCCACCAGGUUGGGGUUCUGCGGAGAUUAAGCACACACGUAUGACACGCGGCACACAAAAGGCGACACUAAAAGGUGAGGGCGCGUGCAGACAGCAGGGUGGCUAGUUGCAUCGCUAGCAGGGCUUGGGGUUUCUGCCUAUCUGUUCCUAUCGACUUACCCAUCGCAGGUACUGCCACACCAGCGCCAGCGACAGAGCCAGGUAGGCGCACGCCGCCACCUUGCGCCAGCCCAGGAACACGUCCACCAGGGUCAGCAGCGCCUUGACCGCGAACGCCAUCACCUCCGCGCCGCUGUGGCCCAGGGCCAUGGGCCGACGGCCCAGAGGGUUCACCUCAACCUGUGCGGUGCGGGCACACACGGGCGACACAUCAAGAUCACGGCGGUGACAUUGCCCCAGCCAACAUCCCAGCCUGCCAUAUGCUCCGUUGCACCGCCGCCUGAACGUAUUCAUAUGCCACUGUCCAGCAAUAACGCACCUCUGCCAUAUUAAGGAGCAAGGCGAUGGCCACGAAUAGAAGCAGGAAUAUGCCAGAGACCACAGCGUGGAUCAGGUGAGGCGAAGACGCGCAGCCUGCGUGUAGACACGUCCACAACCACAUUCGUCGACAUCAUGGAAUCCAUGCGAAACAUUGGGCACAGUGACUGAACUGCAAAUAAAAGCGGCUCGCGAUGUGGGCAAGGCCUGCUGUAUACUCACUGUACACGGGAAACAGGUCCAUGUACAUGUGCGGCGCGACUGGGCCAGUGAAGCGACAGCUGAUGCCGAGCUGUGAGGGACAAGUGAGGUGGGGAACCGAGUGCGAGGGAAAGUAAGAGCCGAGGGACUGGGGUCACGUGCGGGGCAUGCUCGAAGGUGGUCCCUCACCUGCAGCAGGUUCAGGGAUGCCACAUCGAAGGCCUGGAAGAAGACGGAGCUGAACACGCGGAGCACCUGCAUUGCGUGAAUGGGCAACGUGUGUGUGUGCGCGCGCGUGUGUGUGUAUGUGUGUGUGUGUGUGUUUGUGUAUGUGUGUGUGUGUGUGUGUGUGUGUGUGUGUGUGUGUGUGUGUGUGUGUGUGUGUGUGUUUAAAGAGCACAAGGAAAACGUUACGUGUGUGUAUGUGUAUCCAUCAGAUAUGUGUCACUAUGACACCAUCGAUCCCACCAACACGUGCGCCCACCAUUUCUCAGCCGCCCCCCAGCCCUACCUUGAUCGGCCACACUACCGGGAACUUCUGCUCCUUGAAGCACCAGGCCACCCACACGCACAGCCCGAUGUUCAUCACCAGCAGCGCCACCGCGGCAUAUAGCAGGGCCAGGUAGGCGCUGUAGCUCUGGAAGGGGGGUGAGGGCAGGCAUGCACGGCGUGUCAAACGUAGGCUGGCAUCGGCUUUCUUGCUGGGCUGAAAUAAGCUGGGCGGCGCCGGGCCAGUAUGCCGUAUCCAUGCCAGUGCAAGCACCCACCAGGUCGCCGAGCCAGGUGAAGUUGAGCACACCAACCACCGACCAGGCCCUGUGGUAGGUGGGCAAAGACGGCAAUGCAUGUCUGAGUGGCUGGUGCAGGCUCCGUGAUCGCUGAAGUCACAUGCAUUCGCUGUAAUAGAACAAAUUGCACUUGGCCGGAACGGAGCGUUUAUGAGUGAGGUACCGUACCGUGUGCGCCAUGGUCCCACGGCCCCUCUACAUCGCACCAUCGCCACUCACGCGCCGUUUGGGUCGAUGUCCCAGCCCUGCUUGGCGGGCUGGAUGACGGUGGCGAACAGCUGCCAGCCAUCCAGCAGAAUCUUCAGAAGCACCCAGCGGAUGCGGAUGCGCGUCUCGCUGUUCUCCUUGCUGCGUACGGGUGUGGAAGGCAACGGGAGCUAACAUGAUCACCGCAGCGGAGGGCGCCUUAGCAGCGGCUGUUUGGACUGCAAAAACUUUCUGGGGACCUGAUGAACGCAGUGGGUAGGUGACUGUAGGUGACUGUACACUCUUGGUAAGACGUCUACUAAAAGCCACUUUGCAUGCCACACGGAGUGAGGGCCCCGUACACACGCACGCCCGUCCACGCAAAGGACUGACCUCAGGGUGAACAACACUCCAAACACGCCAUUCUGCGCAGGUGAGUGUGUCGUACAGUGUUGCAGGUUACGUGUCAUAAACAGCACAUGUUGGGCAAGAGUUAUGUCGGGCCCGAGGGGUCAGGCCCGACAUCGCCCGUCGCCGUGCGUGUCGCCGUGUUUGUUCCCCCACCCAGCAGUCUUGCAAAGGCGGACCCACUCGGGCGCACAGCAGCCAACACCAUUCAGGUAACUUGCCUCAAGUGUUGAGCGUCUGUCAAGCAUAUCAUGUCCAUGCCCAUCCUGCUGCUGGUUAGCGUGCCUGUGACGGGAGGUCAGGUGGGGAAGGGUUCUAAUUUGCAGGCUGCCGCAAGGGCUGCCGGUCGUUUCUGGCCCGCCCCGCCUACCGUCACGCGCACUGCCUCGCCCCUCCAACUUCGCUGUAUUCCACGAUUCUCCACGCUUCCUCGGCACCGUGCCGAAGCAGCGAGCCGGGCCAGCGUGCCGAGGCAGCGCAUGCAUGCUGCGGCCUUCAGUCUGACCGACGGUUUGACUUCGCAACGGUUUUCUAGAGAACGUAAAGCCGAUACCCAGGACUUUGUGAAUGCUCAAAUAACAAGCAGGAACAAGACCUGUAACGGUCGGCGAAAGCGAUGUGACAUCGAAACUGCAACGGCGCGGCGGCACUCACCGGACACGCUGCGACGCUGACGACGCCGAUGAUGCGCUGGAACCUGCAUAGCUUGAACCGCGACCCGCCACGCUCGACAUUCUGACAGAGAAUGGCUUUUGGCCGACGUCGGUGGUUCCGCGGGCCUUGUCCUCCAACAACGGGGCACCCUAUCGCCAGGCUGGCUUCGCAAAUUUUUGCAUUCCUAGUAACAUUCCAGCAGAAGCGUAGCGCGUUACACAGGCAGAACGACUAGACUGACUCUGGACAAAUGCGGUGGUCGAGUGGGGGGCGGCCGUAUGCCAGCUAAACUCCAGCGCUGUAGCACGCGUUAUGUAAGGUUUGUGCUGCGGUUUGAUCGCCAGGUUGAGCACAAGACUGCAACCGAAUGCGCCAACACGAUGAUGACACAACGAUCAUUGACAAGAACGGCGAACUGCGGAUUCAAUCCUUUAACUAGAUGAAACACAGUAACAUGGUUAACUAGCUUUGAUGAUGCGGGGAGCUUGUUACGAUAUGUAUGGGUUCGCAGAAGCAAAAAAGGUGUGAAAGGUAACAAUGGAGGCUCCUACACUGCCUUUGCUUGUGAACUCCGUUCGCACCCAAAUCAAAUGGUAGCCGUUGUAAUAUGCAGGCUGCCGAUCAAAGUGACAUACUCGCGGUGCAACCGGGGCCGGGCGCCUGCCUCAGGAUCCUUUUCACAACCCGCUCUCCAGCCACACCCGAGUGGGUUCCAAUAUAAAAGAGUAGACACAAGGAGCCAGCCAUGUAGUACUAGGCUUUCUUUCUCGUAGACGGGCUCGUUUCGCACCAGCAGUGCACGAGGACGCACAAGGGUCCACAUGAAAAACCGUGACACGCCACUCUAGCAUGCACGGAAAAUUGGCGCCCCAAGCCCUCAAUUUUACUCCCAUGUUCGUCUUGCCUGACAAAACUGCACGAUGAGCGUGAGCACUUACACGGGUUCGAGUCCAGGUGGCCCCUCCAGUUAGCUCCCUUGAGUCCGGGCGCGAAACCGGCAACAUGACGGUCACGGUCGCCGCUAGUCGAUGCAGUUCAAAGCCUUGAGAGACCUCGGAUGCAUGGUUGCAUGUCCAGCCAGGCCCAGGCAGUUCCGCGUCGUUCCGCCUUGUGACGCACGCUCCCCCGGCUGCUCGUUUGCCCACGCGUCUACAAGUCUACAACCCUCGCUCGCACAGCCUCAGAUCUACAAACGGCGCUUCGCUCCCACCCCUCAAUCCUUGCCCCCCUGCCGCCCACCUCUACUGCCCCUUCUGCGUGCUCUUCCACAGCUCCGCCACCAGCGGCCCCAGCGUGGGGUGGUCCAUCCACUUAGUCAUCGCCGCUGGGCUGGGGCUGGUGCUGAUCUCCUUGAGCAUCACCCAGAACUGCAUCGGGGGGCGGGGGGGGGGGGUAAGCAAUGCGGGAUGAAUGGGUUCUGUGAGCUGCACUAGCUGUUGGCAGGACAGUUGAAAGGCAGAGCAAAGGGAGGGACCGACGCCUUCACAAAACCCUAGCCUGAGCACCUGCCUUAGCUAUUCCUGGAUCGCGCCUGCUCCCAAGGCCCCAAGCCGUUUGCUCGCCCCGAAAACUCCCACGCCACGCCUGCCCGCCCCCAGCCCCCCGCCUCCCCACCUCCUCUGCCCGCCUUUUCCCCCCUACACACCUGCGGGUCGUUCUGCGCCUUGAGGAUGACCUGGGGGUCCGUGGUCUUGACCAGGUAGCUCAGGUCCAGACGCCCCAACACACUCGCGCCCCACAUCUCCCGAAAGUACUGCGGCGGGGCCACGGGCGGGGAGGGGGCGGAAGGGGUUUGUCAAAACCAAACCCAAAGUCAAUCGACAGGGGUAGCCCUCCAUGUAACAGCUUGAAGUGGGCCAGUCGUGUGCGGGCAGGCACACGGCAUCGCCUGUGCAUGCAAAUGCAAGACGCCGUCGAGUGCUCAUGAAUGCGACAUGAUAUGAAGGCACAGUCCCACCAACAUAGGUGCACCGCGGCCAUGCCAUGAGGACCAUCUCCAGCCGAGAGAGAAACCGCCAUACCCGUGGCUGGCUACCGAACUUCGCAACAAUGCGUCAACCUCCGCACGAAGCGUGUCUAGGGCACUACGCCAUGAGUCGAAACCAAGCCUCAGCCCGCCACAGCCCCAGCCUGCCACAGACCGCCGGGGCCAACAGCCAGCGGCACUAACGUAGAACCAGGCAACUCCCGUGCAUGCCUCGCGUUUGCGCGCAUGCAUGCGAGUACCUACGUUCCGAGGGUGGGGAAGCCUCGUACGGUAACCACGGCCCACCUGCGCCUGCCUCGCACUUUCCACCACAAUGACCACCACAGGCACAACUCCGCACCUACCUUGAGAAACUCCUGGUGGGCCACGGGGUCACCACUGACGCGCUCCUCCUGCUCCACCCACCUGUUGUGGUGGUAAUGGAUCGGGCAUUGUGAGCGGGUUGCCAUCACGGACCGGAGCAACCUUGAGCCGCUAUGGCCAGCACGCAUCACGCAGUAUGCGCGUAAGCAACAAAGCCAGGCCGUAACCCACAUUGCCUGUCUGCGUGCUGCCCUGCUGGCUGCACCCUUCUGGCCUCAGACACAGCCGGCCUGCCGUGCGCCCGAGUCCCGACGGCGGCUGGAGCAGCUGCCCGCUGGCGCACGUCAUGGACAGCCCUCUACCCCUCUCUCAACACACAACGCACUGUGUACGUGCCAGCCGGCGUGAACCCAAGUGGGGCAACUCACUUGCGGUACUCGGCGACACUCUGCUUGAGCCUGGGGCCAGGCGGAGUGUUGAGGCAAGCGCACAUGGCCUUUUUGGCGAUGCAAGCAUAUGCAUCAAACGAAAGCAUGCAAUCGCCAUGGCAGUACGAACACGAACGGCAACUGGCCUACGUGACUAAAGCACAGCCAGGCGCAAACUCAAUGGAGUCACGCCAAUAUCAUGACCAUUGCAACGCCGCGCACUGACCCCGCAAACAUCUGAUUCAACGUGAAGCCACCUGCGUCGACAGUUACGUAAUGGCAGAGAGUAAUGGUUUAGAUGCUUAGAUGGUCGUACUGCGUCGGCUUCCAGCCACAUGACCCCAUCCCUAUUCGGCACGCAGCCUGUGCCUUUCCAAGGGCGUGUCCUCUGAAGCGGCCCUGUGCCAAACCGCCCCCCUGUUUCCCAUGACCCAGAGCCCUGCGUUAUUUUGCCCCUCGCUCAGCCGCGUCGCCGCACACGCACCCUCCAGCAUCUGUGCGUUGGUGGUGCGCAGGUACUCCUUGGCCGCUGGGUCCUGACUUAGCUCCAGGCGCUUGAUGAAGAUCUCAUAGCGGUCCGACAUCUCCUGCAUCUGCAGCCGAGAACGCGCGCGCACGGGCAAAGUUAGCAUCUGGUCAUGGGCGGCAGCUGCAGCUGCGAAGCAGUGCGCACGGACAGGCGUGAACCCGGCACAAACGUCUGUAAUCAUGUCGCAGUAAAACACGUUGGCGUCGAUACGCGCCCCUUCGCCGCAGCCACCCUCCGCCCCAGCCGCACACCACCCCAGCCGCAUUCCACCCCAGCCGCCCUCCACCCCACAGCCGCCCUCCUCCGCCUCAGCCGCCCUCCACGCACUCCAGCCGCACCUUAUCCAAGUACAUCUGCUUGCCCUGCAGGUCAAAGUCCGGGAAGCGCCCAGCCAUGCCCGACAGCUGCGUGGCCUCCUGCACAAUUCUGCGCAGUUGCGAGGAAACAGGCGUGGGUGGGUUGCGCGCAGUGGCGCCAGCGACGCGCAAACACUGCUGCUGCUGACUGCCGCCCCGUUGCAGCCAUAGGCGGCCAGGACCCCAAGAACGCAUUGCCUUGUCAGCCCCUUUACAAAAACGACGUCAACGCCGCGGCCGCUAGCAGUACACUUUGCAGCGGUGCGACCGCACUGUGCGGCCACCAUAUGCCUCGGGCCCCGGAGCCUAGACGGCCGGCAGCGGGUGUGCCAGCACGUCGCUGUCACCACCGGCCCCACCCCGCUGUCCAGAAGCCCAGCUCACUUGUUAAACUCGUUCAUGACCAGGUCGCUCCGAAACACGGGGCUGUUAAAGAGCCGCUCAUACAUCUCCUCGUGUGAAGAGGAGCGGGCGCAAACGGAGGGAGGCUUGUGGAAGUCCCAGCGACCUCGUGCCACCGACCGGCGAUGGCCCUGGCUUACAUGAGCCGUAUAUGAGCAUGAGCAAGCGCCAUUGCAUUUGGCCGAGGUGUGAAGCCUUGUGGCGCGGGCUGCACGUAGCGCCAUGAUAGAGCUCAGGGCAAUGCCCGCACUGGCAAUUAAAUUGGUUUGACCGUUUUGACGUCUAAUUGUGGUUCAUAGAGGGUAGAUUGGGCACACCGCCCUCCUGCCGAUUCGCGGCGUGCGCUUGCUUUUGCCUUGGGGCAAGGUUGCGGCUUACGUGGACGGGCCUAUCGCACACUGCCAAAAUUUGCCACGUCAGAGCUCCAGCUAAUGUGUAGGCUGAUGAAAUUUCCAUUCCAAAUCGGAUUCCAUAUCGGGUACACGAAAUCCUUGGCAUGGCCGACAACGCGCGACGUCAGGUGCCAUGCAGCCCGGGGGCAGGGCCCGAGGAAACAAAGCGCCGGACCCCAUGCCCCGAAAUCUCCCGGGGCCAACCUUGAGGGGACGACCGACCGCUCCGCCGCCAACAGUCCGCACGUGCUCAUCUAGAACCGUGCCUAACCCACGAAGUGUCCCCUCCCGCAGGCUCCCGCCCAUCUGCACGGCCUGCCCUCCUGUCUUCCAUUCACAUGGGGCUUUGGCGGGCUUCGGCUUGGCUUCGACUCAUGCGCGUAACACUAUGAAGGUCGGCAGCCAACCAGAGGGCGGAUGUUGUUUCUCUGGGUCGCAGACGGCCCUUCGCGGCGUGGGUACGGCGUGCCCCCGCUUGUCGGGCUGUCCCUUCACUUGUAAUCCGCAUUCAUAUACAACCGAACGUGCACAGCCACCCAUUGACGUUCCGUUUAGGGGCUAAAAUCCCGCCAUUUGAUGCCAAAGUGGUGCCAAUCAAUGACUCUUGAGGAGCGCUACGACGUUGUGCCAUCGGCGAUCCUGUUCUGGGACUUCGG
rnacentral:lncRNA from 1 species